AGCAAUAUAAGCUUUCUCGGCCAGAUUUAUCAUCAAAUACAUAGAUUGCCCCCAAGUCACAUCCAUAUAAACAUAGUUUUUCUAGGUAAACCAAGUAAGGAGCAUCAUAAUUCAGACAUAAUCAUAAAAAGGCCCAUCUAAAUUAAGAGAAAAUCUCAAAAAGAGGGAUGCUGAGCUAUCAGUCUUGUAUCUAUAAGCAAUAUCAAGACUUUACAUCACCUGCUACAUCAUGAGUGGCUACACAACUUUCAGUGGUUUGUCUUUCUUUGGCACGCCUAACUCAGCUUUGAUGUUGCUGAGAUAUUGAUAGUAGAGACACAUGAUACUUCUAGCUCAUGCAUUCUAUCUAACUCAUCCAACAACUAUCUCUUUUUUAAUUCAUUAGUGUUUGCUAAACCUCAUGCUUAAAAGUCCUGUUCUCCUAAAUAAAGUUUCCUAAGAAUGACUUCCUUAGCACCACAGUUGGACACUUGUAGAGCAAUUUUAUUUGGGGGAAAAGAAUUUUCAAGGUGUUAACUAAUAAAUUUUAAAAAAUAAUUACAAUUUGUCCUACGAUCAUAUGACAAUUUAUCUGGGAUGAAAGGAUACAGAUAGACAUCUUCCACUUUCAAGACUAAUCACUACUUCCGUAGAUGUUGUGCAAUAAUACAAAUACUUGACCAGAUGGUAGUGAUGGUAGAAAAAAAAUUUAUUGCUCCAAAAUUAAAAUAAGAAUGCAAUAUGUUAAGCAAAAGGCUGUGCAACAUCAAAUUAAUUGAUAAGAUAGAUGCAGACAAGCAAGUUAAAAUGCAUAGUCCCAAACCUCCGCAUACAACUUCUCUAAAAUAGCAAUAACGUGUUGAUGCUAUGUUUUCUCAGCAUCUACCUGCAAAGGCCCGAGACCAGGAAAACAACAAUAAAACCACUAGCUGAAGGAGAAAGCAAAGAAAGAAAUACACUUGACAUAAAUCUUGACAAGAAGCACAAUUUAAGACAUAACAAACCCCAAUCAUAUUGUUUAGAACUACCAUUCGUUAUUUCGUUAUUGUAACAUUUCGAACAAGUGUUGACUUAAUUCAACAUUGUUGGAAAGAUAGGCUUUUAGAAGCAGAAGAAAGCCUCUCAAACCAAAGUGCUGGUCCUUGUAUUGAUCAAGGGAUGUAAACAUAUUACAUUUGCAGGAUGAGAUUUAAUCACUCCCCUGAUUUAUUUGGGUUGCAGUAAAACUAAGCGAGCAACUGUUUGACUUCCAAGCAACAGCUAAAUCAGCUAUUAAAAUUCAAAUAAAAUCAUAAUAGAAUAAUAACAGGCCCUCUUGCAUCAAAAAUUAAGUUUAAUUUGUGCAUUGUUUUCUAUAGACAUGUCAGUUUCUGCUAUUGAAAUGUUAAAAGCAUUGAAAAAUUAUUCAAUAAAUUAUGCAAGCAUUAAAAUAGAGGACAUAUUAAAAAGUUUCUAAUUACAAUGCUAAUAUUUCCUAUAUUUUAGCAUUUGCAUAUUUUAAUUUAUUUAAAAGCUACGUCGAUCAACUUUGGGCAUGAAGAUUUUAGCUUCUACGAGACUUGAUUGGAAUAUGCAUAAGGAAGAGUGUUAAAAUAUGAUGCAUCCAACGAAAGAAAACCACGUGUAGUCUUUUAAUUAAGCCAAAGUAGCAGCUCAAACAAAUGACACUUGGACCAACAUGCAAUCAUGAAGUGGCCGGAAAAAGGACAAAUGCUACUUUGGCUUAAAUAAAAAAUAACAUGUGACUUGACUUUUGCUGGACAUGCAUCAUGUUAUUACAAGACAACAGAAAUCAGUAUGAUAGUACUAAAAGUUGACAAUAACAUGAAGAUAAGAGGCAGAAUGUCAACACAUGCAUAGGCACACACAAGAAAGUAUUAACAUAUAUACCAUAGCAAAAACUCUUUUAUAUGUCAUCUGUUGCUGCUGUGAUUCAACUGACAGCAAGGCAGCUGUCGCUUCUCUACCAAGAGCCAUUAUUUUAGAUUUAAGCUCGGUCAAUCUUGCUUCUGCAUUUCGAAGCUUCACAGCACUCUCUGCUGAUAUAUCAGAUUCCCUAAUCUUUGAUCGGUGCCUAAAUACUUCAGCUGCCUGGUGAAAAUAUUCAAUAUAAAUCUAAUAUAAUUCUCAUCUUGCCUUAUACAUGCAUAUGUUACGUCAAAGCUUACCUGGGCUUCAACUUCAUGUCGAAGUUUGUCAUAACAAUGAGUCAGGUGUCGAGCAUCUUCCAAAGGUGCUCCGUUGAUUAACGCCCGUAGUGGCUCAGAUACCUACAUGUCCAAAAACCUGUAACAUAGUUAGAAAAAUGAAAAGAAAGAGCGAAACCUCAAUUAAAAAGUUCAUCCAACAUAAUCAUGGAAUUUGGGCCUACUUUAAGAAUAUAUAUAAGGAUAAUUUAUGCAAUUUUGGGUCUUAGGAUGAUUGGUAUUAGGUUAGUGUUCUUCUCUUCUGUAUUUAAGGUUAAAAUAGAAAUAAACCUAUGCAAGUAUCUAAAUUAGGCCUGUAAGACAUCCACAUGCAUCCUUCAGUCUCAUGGAUUUGAUUUUACUAUAGAUGCAAGUGUCUUUAUCGAAAAUGCUUGGAGUCAAUUGAGAGAACUCAUGGCCAAUAACUUGUCACACGCUAGUCUUUGCUAGUGAUCACAAGGUCUCUUCAACAUUUGAACCAAUAAAAUUAUUAAGUCAUGGAUGUCACUAGCAAUGAUUUUAAUAUAAAACAUUAAAUAUUUCAGAGUUGUAACUUUAAAAUGGAUUCUUUUAUUCAAUAUCAUAGAACUAAGUUUCCUUAUGAGAAGAUAAUAGUUUCGAUAAUAAUUUUACAUAUAAUUUUCUAUAUUUGAAUUAUUUUCUAGUUAGGGAUGAACUAACCUGAUCACGAAGAAUCCCGAGCAAAGUUUCCCUCUCAUUUUCCAUCAAAUCAUGUGAAGUGCCAAAUUGAAGAGCAGCUCUUGCAACGCAAGAAUUGUCACUUUGAUUCUCUACUCCAUACUUGCAACAAUCUUCAGCCAACUUUCUCGCUACAAUAUUUGAAUACAAAAAUAUUGUACACAAGAACUAUAAAAAAACUAAUGAAAAAUGCCAAGAUGGAGCAGAUGCUUCAAUACUGCCUAUACAAACCAUAAAAAACUAAUGAAAAAUAAAUAAAAUCGAGAAAUUUUACUAAUUAAAAGUCUAAAUAUAAUUUUGAAAAAAGAAAAGAAACGGACUUGCUGCUGCUUGGCGACUUGUUCUCGGAGCUUGAUUGCCUGUUUCUUGAUAGCUUCCAUACUGUUUCUUUCAAAAAGCGACGACGGCUCUGCUCAUGGAAGUGGAAAAAAAAGUGUGAUCGAGAAAAAUGAAAAGGCGUGAAUAAUUUUUGACAAAAAGCGAAAAUCAAGGAAAGCCGGCUCUUUCCAGAAAAUAAAAAAAAGAAAAAAAGAAAAAAGAAAAUCAUAAGUUUGAAAGGAGAAGAUGAUAUUGGAAGUAUGCAGUGUGGCUGCCAGGUACUUGGAUUGUAUUGUCGGGUAAGGUAAUAGUGGAGAAUUGUAAGUUUGAACGGAGCAUGUUGGACUUUUGUUGACCAAAUUCAAAAGCCAAAUGGCACGGCCCGGAAGCUUUUGAAUAGAAAAACUUGCUAGAAAGCAUCAGUUUAAAUCACUACUUAAACGCUUGCUUUAACUGCACCGCUUUGUACUGUUUUAUGUAUGUAGCGGUUGUGCGGUUGUAAUUCACGGCUGACGCUACGUGUUUGUUUGUACUGUUCUAUUCGGUGACAGAGUAUUAUUAGUUAGGCCAAAACUAUGUUGCAACAGUGGUACAGUAGCACUGUUGCUUUCAGUCAUUAGAUCUAUAGUUGUACAGUUGCAUUAACAAGAUCCAAUGACUGAAAGCAACAGUAGUACCGAACUACUGUUGCAACAUAGCUGGAGCCUAUUAGUUAUUUCAAAGGGAUAAAUAAGAUUGGUUACAACAAACCUACUAAUUUUAUAAAAUUCAAGUAACAUAGAAUAAAAUAAAAAAAUAAAUACAAAAUUGACUUUUAUUUUUUAUGGUUGACUAUAUUUUGUGUUCUCUUCGGGCACUGCUACAAUUGUUCCCUAUAUAUCAAUUACACCACAUACUAUCGACACAAGAAAUGAAAUCUAAUAUCACCUGUUUAGUUAAAAAAUCACUCAUGAAAAAAUUUUACCAUUUUGAUUUGAGGAUCCAUAUUUUAAACUACAAGCUAAUGUUCAUCAAGAAUUACUGAUGGACAAAUUAUUUUUUUUGAUAGAAGAAUUUCUUUAGGAACUACUAAAUUAUUAAUAAAAAUAUCGAACACACCCACAUAUCAUCGACACAAUUGAUUUUGAGGAUCCAUGCUUUGAACUACAGCCUAAUGUUCAUCAAGAAUAGAGUAUGGCUUAUGAGUAGAAAAUUUUCUUAUUUUGGCCCAAAAUAAAAAGAAAUUAAAUUGGAUGAGAAUCUGCCACUUUCUCAUGAAGAAAGGCAUACGGAGCAUACCAUGGUACCAUACAAUAUAAGAAGCCUCCGUUCUUUGGUUUUUCAAACUCUGAAGGGGCUAAUAUUGCCAAAUUCCCCCUUGAAAAUUCUGAUUACGACAUUAUUCAUCGCUUGAUGCAAUCAAAGUAGUGACAAAGUUAGGAAAAAUAUGAGUCCUAAGUAAUUGCUAGGCAGGGCUCCUGAGAGCAAAAUUGUCCUAAGCAUUAUAUGCAUACAUAGUGCAGUACAUAGAGCACGUUGAAUUCCCCACUAUAACACAAACCCAGAAAGACAAGUAAUAACUCAACUGAUAUAAAGACAAAAAGAAGAUAAAAUGAUAUAGAAAAAAGAAUUUCAAAGAGACAGCAACAUACAAUAGACUGAAGCCACUUGAUCUGCUCAUUGAUUGCAGCCUUAAACUUGCAAAUAGUUACUGUACGCUAGUGCUCUAAGAAGUGAAAAUGAUGCGAGCCCUGAUUCCCUUUUGACUUCCAUUUACUGUCAAACAUUCUAGUAAUACAAAAAAUUGUUUAGAUAUCUUGCUAUAAAUAUAGCCGUUUGACUGUCAUAAUAAAGUCACAAAUAACCAUUCAUAUUGAUCUACUGUCACACAGCAUGCUUUAUGCAUACAACAGCUGUAUGCAUACCAACUCCUAACCUUAUCAAUACAUUUGGCAAAAACUUAAGAAGAAAGCUAUUUCUCCAUCUCUUUUUUGAAAUUUCACAAUAACCAGCACAAUGUGAAAGCUAUGUUCUAACCUUAUGAUAAAUGCUCCAGACUCCAAAAGGGUUUUAUAUAUGAGAGUUUGUUGCAGCAGAUAUAUUGACUUAUCAAGUAUGAAUCAUUGUCUGGAUGAACUAUCUUUAGAUAAAAGAAUAUUAGAACCACUGUAGAAUAUCUUUACCCUGCUGGUUCUAACAGGAAUCUGCAUGUGGCAACAAUUGCUAGACCCACAAUUCCCCAACUUGAAAUACAUAGUUGCACACCAUGAGAUAGUGCUACAAUCUACUGAGAUCUAACUUAUAUGGUACUUUAAGCUACUAAUGUUUGCAUAUUUCUACAUGUUAAAUUAACACUAUCAUCUAUAAUCACUCCAAAACAACAAAUGAUAAGCAGCUUUUGGCCACUUAUUACUAGCAUACACAAUUAUAAAUAAGAGAUCAUGGGUUUACUUGUUGCACCUACUUAAUUAUCUGCAGUUGACAUCCUGACACAAGGUUUAAAUAGUGACUGCUUAGAACCCUUGUAGUUGGAUCUUGACCUCUCCCAUUGUAGCCAAGAUUGGUUACUCUGGUAAUGAAUCAACACUCUCCUGCUCAGGGCCAUGAAGAUCUGAAAGCUCAGCACUAGUGGAGAACUUCAUCAAUCUCUUCUUCUCAGCAUACUUGAGACAAGGCUGCAUUACGAGACCAAUCACCACAGCACCAACGCUUAAAACUGCAACUUUUAAAGAAGAAAGAGCCAACACAACACAACACAAAUCAAUAUGGUUGGAGGAAUACACAUGAUAAUGGCUCCAACAGUGCCAGUGGGUAUCUUGUAGGGAUGAGAUGCAGCAGGAUAUUGUAUCCUUAACCAUACAAAUGCUAUGAACUCCAUAAUCAUUCCAAAACAGUACAGGAAGUUCUCUGCAGCUACAAUAUCUCGAAAGCUCAGCCAUGAUAGCAAAACCACACCAGAAGCUGAGAAUAUGAUUCCAAUCAAAGGAGUCCCAUAACAAGACCUCUUAGCAAAAAACUGAGGUAGCAUUCCACGCUCAGCCAUCCCCAAAAGUUGGAAAGAGUCGCUGCUCAUCUCAGCCACAAACAUGCCCAUAUUGGACAUUGCUGCAGCCCCCUGGAUGCACCAUCUCAACCAAACUCCUCCAAGCACUUUAGCAAUAUCUGAAAAGUAACCAUCGGUCCACAAGUCGCGAUCUAAUGGAAUAGCUCCAGUUCAAACUAGAAGGGGAAAGAAAUACCCAAAAAUGACCAAGAUCAAAGCAUAAAACAAAGCCUUUGGAAGAGUCUUCUUUGGGUUAUCCACCUCUCCAGCUAGUGUACUUAUUGAGUCCCAGUAGUUGAGAUUCCAAAACAGGGUGUUCAAAUACAAAUUCCAAUCCACUUCACCUAAAUUUACUACAAGCCAUCUUGAAGGCUCUAACUUGGGAAGGGACACAAGUCCCAUAACCCCAAAAGGAAGGAGUGAGAAAAUCCCUAAAAGAACAGCAGCCCAUCCCACAAUGGUUAGACCCCUAUAGUUCAUGAAAGUGAGAACAAAAGUCAAAGCUAACGCCGCAAAGGCUCUAGGUAACCCAUUGCCCAACGCAGGGAUACCAGACUUCAAGUAGUCAAGAAACAGAACUGGGUAUAAAGCAUUAUCAAUAACCCCACUUAGCCAUCCAACCUUGCUGAAAACCCCAAUAUGGGCCUAAGGCAGAUGAAACCCAAACCACAUAACCACAAUUUUCAGGAAACACAGUACCCAUUUCGGCAGUAAUUAAAGCUUCAGGGACACUCCAUAUAAUCGGAAACACCAAGAAACCAAGAAGUGCUAAAAGAGGACCAGCUGCCUUUACACUAUCCUCAACACCAAACGGCCCCCCAGAAACCUCAUAGAAUAUAAGGAAAAUAAGUGGCAAGAUUGAUACUUUUUUAGUGCCAUGGACUCGAGGAGAAGAUGGUUGGUCAUUGAUAUUAACAUAUUCAACAGCAUCAGACUGCCCUAUUUCUACUGAAACUUGCCUAUUUACAGUGUUCCUCAAUUUCUGCAUCAAGUUUAAGCAUAACUAUCAAAAGGGUAUCCGCAUCUAAAUUAUGAAACAAAAUGAGCAUUUACUUAUUAAAAAAAAUCAAAAAACAGAAAUGGAUUUCGCAGAGCACAUGAAUUUAAGUUCAACAUUAAACAGGCGCUUAAGAAAACAAAAGGGUCUGUUCGUAAAGCCAUCAGAUUGCAAGAUUGAACAACAUUAACGGAAUCAAUAGAAUAGAUGUAAAGAGAUCUGAAAAGAAAAUAAAAUAAAAGAUAAAGAGAGAUAAAACGAACCAUCAAAUAAGUGCAUGCAGAGCAGAGAGGCAGAUACUAGAGAAGCUCCGUCAUGUUAGAGAGAGCCUAAUUCAAUCAGAGCUCACUGAGUUUCUUUUCAACCGACCGGCAAAUUUGGAGUGGCACAACAUAAUAUUUUUACUUUUAAUUUUUGGAACACUUUUGAAUAGAAUUUUUUGUUUUUAAAAAAGGUAAGGGAGAUUAGUAUUUAUUUAACGGAUCAGGCUACGGUGCAACUGUGGCACCGUGCCACAGUUGCAUCUAGCCGUUGGAUGCAAUUGGAAUGGUGGAGUCCACUGACAUCCAACGGUUAGAUACAACUAUGACACGGUACCACAGUUGCACCUAAGGUUCCCUUAUUUAACUUUAUAUUUUUUAAAAUACCUUAAAAAUAUUUUUAUGUUAAAAUAUUAAUAUUUUUAUUAAUAAUUUUUAUAUUUUUAAUUUAUUUUUAUAAUAUUAUUUUUUAUAAUAAUUUUUUAUUUAAAUAUUAAUAAAAAAAUAAUUAAAUUAACAAUUUAAUCCUAAAAUAAAUAAACACGUGUUUGGUUUUGGGCUUUUUCUUUUGUUCGUUUAAUAUCAUCUGGCUCCCUGAUUUGUGACUAAUUAUCAACAGAAUCCCGUUGGUUUCUAAAUUGAAAUAAUAGAAGGUCAUGAGACUAUUUACUCCAUUUAGCACUGCAGACUUAGAGUAUAUUGAAAAAGCUUUGUCAAAUAGUAGUAAUAGGGGCAUAAGAAAUAAAUUAUAGCUAUCACAAAUUCGUUAGGAGAAUUUCAAUUUUUUCCAUCAAUAAUGGCUAUGAAGCAAAAUUACCUUAGGUUAUAUUGCAAUACUAAUACUUCAAAUCCUGAUAAUAAAUUUGAUGACAGUCGUUUUUAUCAUGGUUUUAACAGAUAUAAGAAGAGAAAAUUAACUGUUCAAACAAAUUAGAAGCAAAUUCUUUCAUAUCUUUCUUUUAUUUUUCCGCUUACUUUCUUAGCAUCCAAACAAGUUAAAGUUAAAACGCUGUUAGAGCCAACAAUAUGCAGGCAUCAAUAAGCAUAGUAGUUUUGUAUAUGUAUUCUAUACGAUAUUCUAGGGAUGUCAAUUGUAGAACAUUUUGUGGUAACUUUUUUACAUUAAUUAAUGUUUGAAGAACUUGUUAAAAAGAAAAUGGUAAUUUUAUCAUUUUGAAAGACAAAAAAAAAAAAAAAAAGAGUGAAAGUGGCGUUACCUCAUGGUCAUUAGAGACUUGUUGCAAUGAUAGCUCAAAAUUAAAAAUUUGUGAAGAAUUAGUAGACAACGACGAUACUAUAUUUAUACAGUCACCAACGUGUUGAUUUUUGUUUAAUGUUUGAUCGAUAGAAACUUUCGUCGUCGUCGCCGUUGUUGAAUUUGUGCUAAGAAUAUCACAAGAGAAGAAAAAAGGAUGAAAGGGAAGAGAAGAAGAGAGAAGUGGUGGACAGCAAAUAUGAUAUGCUAGCUACACACAGGCCUUAGAGAGUUUUUUUUUAAUAUUUAUUGUAUUUUUGUUUUUGUUAUUGGUUUUUCAUAUGCUUCCAAGGCAGCAAUGCGUUACAUCAUAAAUUGCACCUUUUAGGGGAGGUGGUAAAAAACAUGAGAGCAAUGCAUUCUAGCGCAUACAUGCAGAAAGAGUUUCCAAAUUUUCAAAAGUUUCUUUAUUUCUUCCACCUUUUUUUGCUUAAAAUAAAUUUUAAUUGUAUUUUGCAUUAACUUAGAGAAAAAAAAAUCCAGUUCUAUACAUAAACGCAUACAUUGAUUAGAAAAUGAGUUUUAUGGACACAAAGGGACAAUAUAAGAGAUUCUUUUUGUUUAUUAGAAGUAACAUAACUAGUUAGUGUAACAUGUAAUUAUAAGCUACCAAUAAUUUGCACUAAUGAUAAUUAACGGUAUAGAUUUUGAGCUAUGAAUGUCUUGUGGCUAGUUUAAUUAGAUUUUCGAGUUUUCAGCAGAUCUAUUUUAAUGAUUAUUAAAUUAUUUUCACUUCUUAUGCCUUAAUAAAAAAAAUCAAUAUUUUUUGCUGUAUUCUAUAUUUUAAAACUUAAUUUUUAGUUCUUUAUAUUGCAAACCAAACUGAGUCAAAUAGAGUAUGCUCUUCAAAUAAUUUUUCCAUUGCCUUCAAGAAGAAUUCAUUUUAUUUUUAUAUAUUAAUUUAACACUUGUAAACCGGGCCGUCAGAUUGCACAUAAAGCAAAUGAUCAAACCGUUACAAGACCGGCCCAGGCCCACCGACUCUAUUUUCUUUCAUUUGACCAUUAAAAAGCUUUUGGCCACCCCCACCAAAUAAAUAAGCUCUUGUUCUCUUUUGUUCCCUCUCAAAGGAAAAUAUCUGAUCACCGGAUAAUGAUUCCGGCGACACAAAAGAUCGAAACACCCCCCUAAAUUCCCUAAAUUUACGAUAAUACCCCACCAUGGAUGAUUCCGUUGAAAUGCCGCCUUACGAUGAAAGGCCUAAAAAGGGUUUUAACUUCACCUCCAUGCGCUUGAUCUUAACCCUCGUUUUCCCAAUUUUAACUUGCUUUUUGUUGGCAUUUUUUAUUGGAAUCGUAGCUGUUUUAUUCGGUGAAUCAUCAGUUUCCAGUUCCAUUUUUGUCCCUUCCCAGUGCAAGAUAGUGUCCAGCAGUAAGCUUUUUUUAACAUUUUCAAUUUUUUUUCCAUUUAUGAAGUCCAAAAAUUUUAUUAAUUUUGACUUUUUUGAAUGAUUUUGCAGGUGUUGAUAUAAGGUCAUCAAAAGUUUGUGAACUUGGGGUGUUGAAUUAUAAGGCGAAGCGUGUGUUUUAUCCAUUUGAAGCAAGUAAAUUUCGCUGUCGGUAUGAUUACUAUUAGGCUUCUAUCUUCAAGGUAUUCAUACAUUUUCCCCUGUACUAUAAGCUUCUCAGUGGCGGUCUUGUGAGCGGAAGUGAGCGGUGUGGUUGACAGCUUCUUGAAAAUUAUAAGUUUGAACCAAGCAUGUUAGAGCACCACCAAAAGCCUCUUUAAAUAAGAUUUUAUUAUUUAUUUAAAGAGCCACAUCAAUAUUGAAAGCUCCAAAAGACACUUCAAUUAAAAUUCUUUAAAUAAGAAUUGAUUCUCUUCAAAUUUGGAGAGUUAAUUUCUCCCUCUUCAAUUUAUAUUUUAUUACUUUUCAUUGAAGAAAUAGAGAAAUGCUUUAAUUGCUAUUAACUUUUCCUUUAAAAAACUAAUUAUAUGAUUAAAAUAAUAUUAACUUAUUUAUAUUUGAAGAGUCUUUUGAAGAAUAUCAUAUUUUUUUCACCAUUCUAUUUGCCACAUAGGUAAACAAAUAGAUAUUUAAAGAGUAAAAUUUAUAGAAACUUUUGGAGAUGCUCUUAGACUUUUGUUGACCAAAUUCGAAAGCCAAAUGGCACAGCUCAGAAGCUUUUGAAUUGAAUAACUUACUAGGAAGCUCCAAUUUUUUGUUGGCUACAGUAAAAGGAUGUUGUUUUAUUCUUCUUAUACUUUACGCUUGCAUCAGCUUAAAUCACUUCUUAAACGCUUUGCUUUAACUCCACUGCUUUGCUGGGGCGGAUUUACCUUGGAACAAGUGGGGACUUAAGUCCCCACUGAAAAAAAAAUUGUUUUAAUAAUUAAUUUGAUUUGCCAAAACUUCUCAAUAAAUUUUUCUUAAGCCCCCAUAAUUUCUUUCAACAAGCAAUUGAUCUAAAUGAGUUAAUUUCUGUCAGUUGUAUCCAAAUGAGUUCUCUGCAAUUGAUAUCAUGGCACUUGAAAUUCAACUUGAUACAUAUAUUUUGGAUAUGCGCACUAGUGCGAGACUAAAAGACAUAAGGUAUAUCCAUUGGUUUACUUGUUAAUAAUAUUAGCAUUGACUUUACCCGUUGCCAUUGCUAGUGUAGAGAGUAUUUUCAGCCAUGAACAUUUUGAAGAAUUGGUUAUAAAGCUGUGAGUAAUAGAUGAAUGAUAGUUUAAUUAUUUACAUAGAAAAAUACUUAUUUAAUAAUAUUGAUAAUGAACUUGUAAUGCAACAUUUUUAAUGUAUGAAAACUUGAAAGGACAAUUGUAAACAUAUAUUGAAGUAUGAUAAAUCUUUCAAAUUUAUAUAUUUAUUACUUUUUAAAUUUUUUUAUAUUGCCGUUGAAUGAGCCCCCAGUCAAUCAAUAUGUUGUCUUCACCCUGCUUCGUACUCUUCUAUAUAUGUAUCGGGUAUGCAGUUGUAGUUAAUGGUUGAGACUACGUGUUUGUUUGACGUGGUAGUUACGUUACGAGUCUGUUAAACAUUCGAUGAUUAAAGUAUUAUCUGUUAUUUCAAAGGGACAAAUAAGAUUAGCUACAACACACCCACUAGUUUUAUAAAAUUCGAAUGAGAUGGAAUAAAAUAAAAAAUAAAUAAGUAAAUUGACUUUUAAUUUUAGUGGUUGAAUAUAUUUUCUAUUCUCUUAGGGCACUGCUGUAAUUAUUCCUUAAACGUCAGUCAUACCCACAUAUAAUAGACACAAGAAAUGAAAUCUAAAAUCACCUGUUUAGUUAAAGAAUCAUCAUGAAAAAAUUUUGCCAUUUUGAUUUGAAGAUCCACUUUUUGAACAACCAACUUAUGUUCAUCAAGAACGGAUCAUGGCUUGUGAGUAGAAAAAUUAUUUUUGGACAAAUUAUUUUUUUUAAUAGAAGAAUUUCUCAAGGGACUAAUAAAAUUACUAAUAAAAAUGUCAGACACACCCACGUACCAUCGACACAAUUGACUAUGAGGAUCCAUGUUUUGAACUUCCACCUAAUGUUCAUCAAGAACAGAAUAUGGCUUGUGAAAAGAAAAUUUUCUGAUUUUGGCCUGGAACAAAAAGAAAUUAAAUUGAAGGAGAAUCUGCUACUUUCUCAUUAAGAAAGGCAGACAUGGUAUACCAUGGUACCAUACAAUAUAAAAAGUCUCCAUUCUCUGGCUUUUCAAACUCUGAAGGGGGCAAUAUUCCCCAAUUCUCCCGUGAAAAUUCUAAUUACGACAUUAUUCAUCGGUUGAUACAUAAGUACAAGUAGUGACAAAAUUAGGAAAAAUAUGACUCAUAAGUAAUUACUAGGCAGGGCUCUUGAGAGCAACAUUGUACUAGGCUUUAUAUGCAAACAUGGUGUGGUACAUAGAGCACGUUGAAUUCCACACUAUAACACAAACCCAGAAAGACAAGUAAUAUCUCAACUGAUAUAAAGACAAAAAGAAGAUAAAAUGAUACAGAACAAAGAAUUUCUAAGAGACAGCAACAUACAAUAGACUAAAGCCAGUUGAUCUGCUCAUUGAUUGCAGCCUUAAACUUGCAAAUGUUUACUGUAGCCUGGUGCUCUAAGAAGUGAAAAUGAUGCAAACCUUGAUUCCCUGUUUACUUCCAUUUACCAUCAACACAUUCUAUUCAUAAGAAAAAAAAUGUUUAGAUAUCUUGCCGUAAAUAUAGCCAUUUGAUUGUCUUAAUAAAGCCACACACAACCAUUCAUAUUGAUCCACAUUGCCACAUAGCCUGAUUUAAGCAUACAACAGCUGAAUGUAUACCUAACUCCUAACCUUAUCAAUACAUUGGCGACAACUUAAGAAGAAAACUAUUUCUCCAUCUCUUUUUUGAAAUUUCACAAUAAAACAGCACAAUGUAAGAGCUGCAAUGAAAAUGGACCGUCUGAAACUAUGGCGGAAGCUUCAACUAGUGUAGUGAUUUGACCUUCUUAUUAACCUAGCGAGAUCAAACACUGCCCUUGAUCUUGAACAGAUCAAUACGAUACGCACAACUUAUGAUUGAAUCCAGAAACAAUCAAAUCUUUAGCAAGAAUAAUUAAUCAGAAUCAAGAAACAAGUUUAAUGAAUAUAAACCUAUAAUUGGAACAAACACAGCCAAAGAACCCAAGAAUGACACAACGAACACCAAGGGAGAAGCUUUCCAGUGAGAUUAUAUUGAUGAUCAAAGAAGAAUCUUUUUACAAAGCUAACAAAAGAGAUUUCAGAGAAUAAGCUAUGACCCUCUCUCUCUUCAAUCUCUGUCUAGUUUGUUAACAGUGAUGACCCAAUCUGCUUCGUUAGCCAGCUUCAUAACUGCGUCAGUGACAAACCAGCAAACCCAGAUUGAGCAGACUAACGACACGUGCAUAACGGCUUUAACGAACUUGGUUAAAGAACUGCUCACAUGUUCGUCACGCGUGUUGCUUAAAUGAUAGCCAAAACGACUUCAACCAGAUGCCGUUUUGAAGCUUAUGAAUUAUAAGUGAAAACACGUGCUUGUCUCGUGACAUUUAAAUGCAACAACAAGCCCAAAACACUGCCGUUUCACUAUGUUGAGUUUGCCAUCUCUAAGCUUCACAACUAGCAGCGGACAAGAUGAUAAUUUAAUUGACAUGGACAACUUUUAUAUCACUUUUACAACAUUCUAUAUAAUUGUGAUAUUGGGAAUCGUCGGUGUUGUAUAUGUGAACCCUCGUUGGCGACACUGGUGGUUUUAUCUUUGUUGAAAUAUGGAUGACUUUUUGUUACUAUUUUGUUGUACAUAGUACAUAACCUUAUUCCCAGGAGAUUUAAUCAUUGAAAUUAACAUGUUAGUUUCAUUAGAAGGCUGAGUGGUUAGGGCUGCUACCCUCCAACUUGGAGGGCAAUAGUUUAAACCCACAAGCGCAAUGUGGGGGUAUUUCAUUCUUUAAUUACAUUGUAUAAUUGAAUAAAUGUAAUCUUCUCUCUUACACAAGUGUGAGUGGAGUAGACAUCUCUCGAAUAUUAGCGAGGGUUAAAACUUGGACAGAGCUCAAUAAGUAUUUAUGUAAGUUGGUCCUAGUAAUAAUCUGAUUUGUAAAUAUCAGUUAUAGUCUCAUGUUUCCUUCCUUAAUUAUAUUGUAUAAUUAAGUAAAUGUACUCUUCUCUCUUACCCAAGUGUGAGUGGAGUAAACAUCCCUAGAAUAUUAGUGAGGGUUAAAAUCUGGACAGAGCUCCAUAAGUAUUGAUGUAAGUUGAUCCCAGUAAUAGUAUGAUUUGUAAAUAUCAGUUAUAAUCUCAUGUAAUAUGAGUUGUAAUUUGAGCAACAGUUUCAUGUAAUUACAAAAAAAAUGCUACUUUCAUUACAUUUUUCUUCGUUAAAAUUCUCAAGUAUCAAUUAUGUUUGCUUAAGAAAUAAAAUUUCGUUAUGAAAAUUGUAGUAGUAUUUCCGAGCAUCUCACAUUUUCAAUGAUUUUUCAUAAAUCAAUUAAUCUGUCGUACCAAUAUCAUGUUUAGUUUUUCAGACUAAAUAAUCAAGAAAGCAAACAAAUUCACAGUUUAGAGGGGUAAACUAGCUUUUAGAUUUUAGAACUAGGCUAGAUACCUCACCAAAUUCCAAUUUGUACAGUGAACUACAAGAUUGAGAAAAUAAUGUAUUUAUAGUUUAAUUGAAUCAUGAGAAAACAAUGUAGUCAUAGCUCAAUCGGACAUGAUCACGGAGAGGCAUAUUCUUUUCAAGUUAAUUUGAUCCAUUUAUAAGAAAUGAAGUGGAUCGAAGUUAAAAGUUAAAAUAAAAAAUCCUUAUUCUUGAGUUUUACGACGUCGUUACUCCUUCAAGAGGCUGAUUGUGCAAGUGAAUGGAGAAACAGAAUGCUUUUAUAAUUUUUUUAAUAAUUGUAAAAAUAAUUAACCAUAACAAAUCCCUUGCGUAAAUACUAAUCAUUAUUUAAAAGGUAGAAAGAUAGUUAGUGCACAAUCAAAUUUUAAGCCCCUACCUCCUCGGCCCAAGAUUCAAACUUAGAUGAUCAGCCAAAUAAAAUUAUUUGAAAAUCAUUCAAUCAGGUUCCCGGAGUAAAAAUACAAGAUCCUUAUUAUAAAAGUUGUCCCACCUGCUGGUGUAUAACAACCACUUCAAUUCAAACUAGAUUCUUUUUGUUUUUUUUAAUGUAAUCCUGAUAAUAUUUAUGUUAUCUUAAGAAUAGGUCAGCUUGAUUAUUGCUGAAAUAUAGGAGGAAGUUAGCUUUGAUUCAUUGUAUUAUUUAUACGCUCUGAUACCAUAAAGAGAUUGAUAAUUGAAAAUGAACUCACUUCGUUACUGGUAUGUCUGGUUCGGUGGUUGGCGGGGAAGGUGGAAGAGAUGGUUGGCGGGCAGGUAGAGCUUCCUGUGGGGUUGGGUCAGCUGGUUGUGAAGUAGCCUCAGGCAGAGAUAAUUCUUGAGAGCUAGCUGCAGAUGGAGUGUUGGCUGCCUGCUGGAGUGAUGUGGGAAUGGACACAGUAAGUACAGGAGGAAUCCAAGUGGAUAUGGUAGUGGAAGUAGGACGUGGAAGAGUGGUGUGUAGUGAGGUGUAUGGAAAGACUGAUUCAACAAAUUGAACAUGGCGAGAAACAUGUUGCUGUUGAUUAUCAUUUUAUCAGAGAUCAAGUUCAAUCUGGUCUACUUCGAGUAGCUCAUGUCUCCUCUGCUGAUCAGCUUGCCGAUCUUCUCACCAAGCCACUGCCCACUUCUCAGUUCUUGCUUUUACGGGACAAGAUUGGCCUCUCUACUCGUGGCCUAUCUUGAGGGGGCAUAUAAAAGUUGUCCCACCUGCUGGUGUAUAACAACCACUUCAAUUCAAACUAGAUUCUUUUUGUUUUUUUGAAUGUAAUCCUGAUAAUAUUUCUGUUAUCUUAAGAAUAGGUCAGCUUGAUUAUUGCUGAAAUAUAGGAGGAAGUUAGGUUUGAUUCGUUGUAUUAUUUAUACGCUUUGAUUCUAAUGGAACGAAGUGAGUUCAUUUUCAAUUAUCAAUCUCUUUACUUAUUUGCAUGAUAUAUAUGAAUUAAUGUAAUUUAUUUGAAUUAUCCAAAUUCAUUAGAGAUAAAACUAUAAAAUAUACCAAAAACGUUAGAAGGAAGGGUGUGUUGGGAUGUUUUACAAACUAUAGGAAUCUGGUGAGAUUUUGAGCCAAACUGUAGGGAGUUGAAGGCAUUUGCCCAAUAUGUUUAGUCGUACACUAACCGUUAUUUGAUCUUGUUGUUGGUCCCGGAUGAGCUGUAGUCUUAUUUUAAUUUUAUUUAAACUCACCAUAAGAUUCGCGGAGCUCCUAACUAACUUAAAUGACUCUGCAGAGCAUGUCAACACAUAGCAUGUUUAACCGUUUUAUUUGUAGAAGAAUUUAUGAUUUCCCAUUAGCAUUAUUAUUGAAGUGGGGCGGGGGCGGGUCAAAUCUCAAUUGCUUGAAAAUUUUAUUUAUUAUUAUUAGUCUUGAAGUGAGGUGGGUAACGGUUCGCUCCAAUUCGAGGGAAUCAAAUAUAUCAUCCAAGGUAGAAUUGUGGAAAAUUAAAGCAAAAUAAGAAAUAUGGAAAGAAAAGAAGAAAGUUAAGGCAUGAAAGACAUAUACAGUUGAAAUUAUAAUCAUGUUUCUAUUUUGUUAACUAAUCAAAUGGAAAGCUGAACUGUAAACAAACAUUAAAACGUGUGGACCAAGCUAGCUGCCCUACAAGUCCACAAUAAUAAUUGAGUACUUUGAUUCAUCCUUCUAUAAAUUUCUACCCAUAUUGACUCCACCGAAAUUUCCACAAAAUUAAAAAAAAAAAACUGAAUUUCCACAAAAUACAAAACCCGUUGAACUUAUUUUUUGGUCAUGUGAACUAAGAUGUAAAUUAAAAAAAAAGUAUAAAAUUAAAAAAGAUAAGAUUUCUAAAAUGUGUGGAAGGUGAUUCAUGAUUCACUGAAAUUACUUACCCCAGAUAUAAAAGUAAACCUAUCUAAUUUCAUUAAAAAUAGUUAGAAAAAAUUAACUAAUAAAAAGCUACGGAAAUUAACCCCCCACAAAAAUGACUUUUUAUAGAAGAAUUUAUGUUUUUUAAAAUAUGUUAUCAAAGUGUAUUUGAUCAAAUCUCAAUUGCUUAGUAUGGUUAGGAUUUUGUGAACAUCACUAAAAAGUGAAAAACUAUGAAUGAUAGGGGUGAUGCUUGCAAUAUGAAUAAAUAAUGGACUGAUUCAAUUGAUGAUUACAUUUAUAUAUUAUUGAUUAUUUAUGAAUUUUCAGACUUGUUAUGAUGUAUAACUAUGUGAUUUUGAAACUUGAAACCGUGGCAAACAUUGAAAGGAAUUAUAACUUGAAAGCAUGACUCACGGGGUAUGUCAUGAUUCACGUGCACAAAAAAGGUAGAAUUGUGGAAAUUUACAACCCAACGACAAAUACGGAAAGAAAGGAAGAAAAUUAAAAGACUUCGGGCCUAGCCUGCGUGUAUUAAUUAUUAGAUUACUUUUUUUUUUAUAAGGGUAAUCAUCAAUUUACUCCAUAACAAUCUUUAAUUCAUUUUUAAAAAAUAUGAAAACUUUAAUUUAUCUUUUAAACAUCGUUACCUCUUCAUUGGUUUUAAUAGUUCAAAGGGUAAAAUUAUAUUUGCAUAUUUUCUUGACCGCCAACUAAAUGAUAAAACUCAAAAUUCAAUCUUGUUAUCUUGUUUCAAUCCUCUAUCAAUCAAAUAAGAUUUCUAAAAUAUGUGAAAGAUAUUGCAUGAUUUCCUCAACCUACCUGGCCCCGAACAUCAAGGUAAAUCUCUCUAAAAUAGUUGAUUAAAUCUCAGUUGCUAAGUAUAGUUAGGAUUGUGUGAACAUCACUGAAAACUAUGAUUGAUAGAAGUGAUCUUUGCAAUAUGAAUAAAUAAUUAACUGAAUCAAUUGAUUUAUAUAUUAAAGUUUAUGAAUUUUCGGACUUGUUGCGAUAUAAUAAUAGCAUAUGAUUUGAAACUUGAAACAGUGGUAAAUAUUGAAAGGAAUUAAUUUGAAAGCAUGAUCCGUGGGGAAUGUGAUGAAUCGUGUUUACAAAAAAGGUAGAAUUGUGGAAAUUUAUAACAGAACGAUAAAUAUGGUAAAAAGGAAGAAAAUUGAAAGACUUGGGGCCUGGCCUGGGUGUAUUUUCUAACUGUCCAAUGGACAAAAUUAUAUUUGUAUACUUUCUCUUCCCUAGCUAGGUUUCAUAGAAUAGCUCAUUUCAUUUUUAUUUUUUAAAUAAUAGCCCAAAACAUCCUUAUGUUAAUUCACUGUUAGUUGAAUAUCAUUUGUUAGUAAUUCAUUAAGGGUAAAAAAUGAUUUUCUAUCAAAGAGAAAAUUAGAAAAAUAAAUAAAAGUUGACAUAUAACUAAAAAUGAUCUUAUCUAAUCCCACUAAAUAAGAAAUGCCAAAAAAGAUGAAAAAUUUAUAUUUCAAGCAAUUCUUUUUUCACUUAUUUCUAUUUUGGCGGCAUGAAAGCCCUAUAAACCCUAGAUCUAAAUACCAAAAAUAUCACAAUUUUCUUAUUCAUAUAAGUAUACUCUCUAAUUGCAUUGUAAAAUGGCUUGAAUUGAAUUGAAGAUAAAGAAAAUAUUCAGCACAUGCAAGCACAUAAAAAUUGGUGGCAUUUUUGAGUUUUUCUUCCAAUGAUUUAAAGAUAUUGUUUUAAUUACAGUUUGUUCCUUAUGACAAUUAUUCAAUGGCUAUAUCAAACUAUAUCAUCGUUGAUUUCAUUUAAGAAAAAGUUAAUGAAUUUUGCAUACUUUGUAGUGUUAUUUAAUUGUGUAAAAAAAUUAUUUUAAUAUAGUUUGUAUCACUUUAAUGAAAAAUCUUAUUUUGCUCUCAAUGAAUUACUGGUUAAUAGUUUUACACUCACGGUGAGUUAACGGAAGGAUAUUUUAGGCUAUUGAUUGAAAAGGAGGGAUAAAAUGGGCUAUUGCAUUAAACUUUAGGGAUGAAAAAUGCUUUUUCUCCUUUCUUAUCAAUCAACUAACUGAUAAAAGUCAAAACUCAUAUUUUUUUUUUCCUUGUUUCAAUCCCCUCUCAAUCAAAAAAGUUUCCUUGUCUAAGCAAUGAGGAAUAUGGCUAGAAAGAUUGUUAUUAGAAAGAUUUAUCAAUAGUAAUUGGUUCACAACUGAACAAUUUUAGAUUAUUGUGAGUCAAUAUAGGUCUUGUUUGGAAUUGAAGUGUUGUAGCUUUUAAGCUACAGCUGCUUUAGAAAAAAAACUAUAAUUAUGAAAUAAGAGUUAAUAAUAUAUAAUAAAUAUAAAUUUUAAAUAAUAAAUUUGACAAAAUUAUUAAAAAUAUAAUAGAUUUUUGAUAAUACAAGUAAAAAAAUCAUAUCAACAUAGCUUGCAAGUUACAACAGUUAGUGUUUACCUAAUACUUUAAUACUGUAGCUUUUAAGUUACAGUUGUCCAAUACCUCAAUUCCAAACGCACCUAUAAAAUGGCUUGCUUCAAAAGUCUAUCAACCCAACUUGGAAUGCUCUCAUUGUUGCGGAAACGUGGGUUGAGCAAUUACUAAUACUGCAACUUCUGGAGAAAUAUAAAUGUGGUGAUAAACAAAUGCAAAGAAAAUAGAACACAAUAUUUUACGUGGUUCGGCGUAAUGCCUACGUCCACGGGCAAAAACUGGAAGAUAAUUUUACUAACAAUGAAAUUUACAAAAGUGGGAAAAACUCACAAAACCCACAACCCCAAUACACCCAAAUGGAACCUCACUAGAACACUCAAGUGGAAGCUCUCUCAAAUUCUCUCAAAGAACUCACUUGCAAUUGCUCUCUACUUCUCUCAAAUUGGGAUGGUUACAAUAGCAAAAUGCUUCUCUAUUUAUAGAUUGCAUUCUGCUCCAAGUUGGGUUCAAUUUGUCAAAAUGUUGAGCUGGAUCUUGUAUUGCAUGCACGAGCUUUUCAACACCUAACUUUGUCUUUUGAAAUUGCUUAGCCGACCAUCUUUGCUUUUUUGAAUUUGGCAAGCAAUUCUUUGACUUUUCAACAAUUCUCCACCUCGGCGAAGAUUUAGUAAAUCUGAGCCGAUUAUCAAUAAAUUAUCCUCCAGCCUUUGCCUUCUCCGACUGCUUUUAAACUUGCAGGAUAUUAAUCAAGUUUAGACAAUGCUCAAACUUGAUCGCUGUCACCACCUUGGUCAACAUAUCUGCGGGAUUAUCUAUAGUUUUAAUUUUCUGAAGAAGAAUCUUCCCCUCAUCAAUAAUUUCCCGCACAAAGUGAAAGCGUACAUCGAUGUGCUUCGUACGCACAUGAUAAACUUGGUUCUUCGUUAAAUGAAUAGCACUCUGACUAUCGCAAUACACAUUAAUGUGCUCCUGCGCCAAUCCCAAGUUUUCAAGCAAACCUUAUAACCAAAUAGCCUCUUUAAUAGCCUCUGUAAUUGCCAUGUACUCGGCCUCUGUGGUCGAUAGUGCAACUGUAGACUGUAGUGUAGACUUCCAACUAAUUGGCCCUCCAGCAAAAGUAAAUACAUAUCUGGUGGUUGACCGUCGUUUGUCCAAAUCACCAGCAUAAUCAGAAUCAAUGUACUCGAUCACACUUUGACCAAGUGUAUCGUCUCUUUCAAACAGUAAACCAACAUCCACGGUCUUCUAAAUGUACCGUAGAAUCCAUUUCACAGCUUGCCAAUGUCCUUUACCAGGAUUAUGCAUAUACCUGCUCACUAUACCAACUGCAUGUGAAAUGUCAGGCCUUGUACACACCAUUGCAUACAUCAAGCUACCCACUGCAUUUGAAUACGAAACUUGUAACAUGUAUUCUCGUUCUGCAUAUGUUGAAGGAGAUAAUUGUGCAGAAAGCUUGAAAUGAGAAGCCAACGGGGUACUCACAGGUUUUGUCUGCUCAGUCAUGCCAAACUGCUGUAGUACCUUCUUCAAAUAUUGCUUUUGAGACAAGCUUACUUUGCCACGAGCUCUAUCUCUGCAUAUCUCCAUGCCAAGAAUCUUCUUAGCUUCACCUAAAUCUUUCAUUUCAAAUUCUUGAUUGAGUUGAGUCUUCAACUUCUCAAUCUCAUUUUUGCUCUUCGAUGCUAUUAGCAUAUCAUCGACAUACAAUAGCAAAUAAAUGAAAGAGCCUUCUUGUAGCUUGCGAAAAUACACACAAUAAUCAAAUUUAUUUCUUGUGUACCUUUGUCUUUUCAUAAAUCGAUCAAAUCGCUUGUACCACUGCCUCGGAGAUUGUUUCAACCCAUAAAGCGACUUUGUCAAUUUGCAAACCCAAUUUUCUUUUCCAGCAACCUUAAAUCCAUCUGGCUGAGUCAUGUAGAUUUCCUCUUCCAAAUCACCAUGUAAGAAUGCAGUUUUUACAUCAAGUUGAACUAGUUCAAUAUCAAAUUGCGCAACCAUGGCUAGCAAAAUUCGAAUAGAUGAAUGUUUCACAACUGGAGAAAAUACCUCAUUGUAGUCUAUUCCUUCCUUCUGAGCGUAACCCUUCGCUACCAAUCUAGCCUUGUAUCGAAUUUCAUUUUUACAAGGAAAUCCUUCCUUUUUUGCAUAUACCCAUUUGCACCCAAUUGCCUUCUUUUCCUUGGGCAGUGUAACUAACUCCCAAGUUUCAUUUUUGUGAAGAGACUGCAUUUCUUCGUUCAUUGCUUUCUUCCACUGUAUACUUUCUGGAUUACUUACUGCUUCUCUGUAAGUGGAAGGAACAUCAUCAUCUACAAUUGGAAGUGCAUAGGCCACCAUAUCAACAAAGCGAGCAAGUCUGCGAAUCUCUCUAUGUGGCCUUCUAUAUGCAAUUGAAUCAUGUUGCUGUGAAGGUUCCUAGGUCAGAACCUCUUCAUCAUUUUCGGUCGAUGGAGAAUCAUUAUCCAUCUCAUCGACACCAGCUGGAUCAGCUUUAACUUUUUCAAACUCCACAUGCUGCAAACUGCUACUGGUCUUGUCAUUCUCUUGAGAAUCUUUUUGUUUCAACAUGGUUGAUUCAUCAAAAGUUACAUCUCUGCUGAAAAUAAUCUUCUUCGUUACAGGACACCAGAGACGGUAUCCUUUUACUCCACCAGUUAUACCCAUGAACAAUGCUUUCUUUGCUCUUGGGUCUAACUUAGAUUCUUUUACAUGAUAAUAAGUAGUGGAACCAAAAACAUGUAAAGAAUUAUAAUCAGUAGUAGGUUUACCAGUCCACAUCUCCAUGGGUGUUCUGCCCUCAAUUGCAGUUGAUGGCAAACGGUUGAUCAAAUGGCACGCAUAUACAACUGCCUCAGCCCAAAACUCUUUGCCCAAUCCAGCAUUGGAUAACAUACACCGAACUUUCUCCAGUAUAGUCCGGUUCAUGCGUUCUGCCACCCCAUUCUGUUGUGGUGUAUCUCGAACAGUGAAAUGUCGCACAAUACCCUCAUCUUGGCAUAUUUGAAGAAAUGGAUCAUUCUUGUACUCACCACCAUUAUCUGAGCGAAGUCUUUUGAUCUUUCGACCAUUCUGAGUCUCGACCAUUUUCUUCCAUUUCAUAAAUAUGCCCAAAACUUCAUUUUUGUUCUUCAUCAAAUACACCCACACUUUUCUUGAAUAAUCAUCAACAAAAGUAACAAAAUAGUGCAUACCUCCCAAAGAAGCUGUUUUGGUAUGUCCCCACACAUCACUGUGAACAUAGUCCAUAAUUCCUUUUGUAUCGUGAAUUGCUGAACCAAACUUUACCCUUGUCUAUUUGCCCAGAACACAAUGUUCACAAAAUUCUAAUUUGCAAGAAUUUGUACCUUUCAAUAAGCCUUGCUUCGCUAAAGUUUGCAAAGCUUUUUCACCAGCAUGUCCCAAACGCAUAUGCCACAAUUUGGUUGCUUCUAAAUCUGCAUCUUUUCCAGAAACUGUUGAUGCUGAUCCAAUAACUGUACUUCCUUGGAAAUAGUACAAGUUAUUUCUUCUUGUGCCUUUCAUUACCGUCAGUGCCCCAGCUACUACCUUCAACAAUCCAUCUCUUAAAGUGAUUGUGAGUCCUUUAGAUUCUAGGACUCCUAAUGAGAUGAGAUUUUUCUUCAAGCUUGGUACAUAGCGAACAUCUGUCAAAACUUGGAUUGAGCCAUCAUGAUUCUUUAAUUGGAUUGUACCUAUUCCCAUGGUUUUACAAGCAUUGUCAUUGCCCAUAAAAACAACUCCACCGUCUAGCUCCUUGAAGUUAGAAAACCAGCCCUUGUUAGGACACAUAUGAUAAGUACAACCCGAAUCCAAAAUCCACUCAUCUGAGUGACAUAUCAAUGUCAUGCCAACCAGACUAAAGUCUGACUCCUCAUCAUGCUCUGCUACACAUGCAUCAGAAGUAGCCUUGCCCUUUUGUAACUUAGGACAAUUCUUUUUCCAAUGCCCUUUCUCGCGACAAAAAGCACAUUCAUCUUUGGCAGGUCUCCCUUUAGACUUGUUCCUUUUUCCAGGUUUGUGGCUUUGCGAACGACCUCUCGCUGUCAGUGCUUCUGCAACUGUAUAUCUGUGAUCCUUUCUAUCUUUCUUUCUGGUCUCAGAGUUGUACAAUGCACUGCAUACAGCAUCGAAUGUGACACUGUCCUUCCCAUGAAGCAAAGUAGUGGUAAGAUGAUCAUAUUCAUCAGGAAGGGAAUUCAACAACAAUAAUGCCUUAUCUUCAUCUUCAAAUCUCUCAUCUAGAUUUAGCAAAUCCGCCAAUAUCUUGUUGAAUGAGUUCACGUGGUCAUUCAUUGACAUGCCAUGUGUAUAUGUAAAUCGAUAGAGUUUCUUUUUCAUAUAAAGCCUAUUUUCAAGACUUUUCUUCAUAUGCUUUUCUUCCAGUGUCUCCCACAAUUUCUUUGCCGAUGUCUCCCUCAUGACAGAGUAUUUCUGAUCUUUAGCCAGACAUAGGCGAAUAGUACCACAUGCCUGUCUAUUGAUUUUUAUCCACUCCUUGUCAUCCAUCACGUCAGGCUUUUCUUCAAGAGCAACGUCCAACUCUUGUUGACAUAAGACAUCCAACACCUCACAUUGCCACAUACCAAAAUUAUUGGUACCAUCAAAUUUCUCCACUUCAAACUUUGCAUUAGUCACAGUAGUUCUCGCUGAUGAAGACGACGACGGUGCCUCUGCCAUCCUUUUUAUCUCAAAUGAUCAGUUUCUUCAACAACUAUUUACACUUAAAAAACAGCCUCUAUGAUGUUUAUUUCGCGUGAAUAAAUGCACCAGGAAAGUUCCCAAGAGACUGGACGGGAACUCGGUCCCAAUUAAAAACCAGAAUCCUUAGACUCUUAUCGCCUUUGUUGACAGAACUUUCCUAGACAUGCAAAAAUACACACUACUUACAAUAGACUGCCUCCCAAGUAUAAAUGACCGUCUCCACCGUAUUUGUGAACAGUACCGUUUAUAGGAAUAGUACCGUAUACGUGAACAAUACCGUAUCCCCCCAAGUACGAGCCGUCGGCUCUGAUACCACUUGUUGCGGAAACGUGGGUUGAGCAAUUACUAAUACUGCAACUUCUGGAGAAAUAUAAAUGUGGUGAUAAACAAAUGCAAAGAAAAUAGAACACAAUGUUUUACGUGGUUCGGCGUAAUGCCUACGUCCACGGGCAAAAACUGGAAGAUAAUUUUACUAACAAUGAAAUUUACAAAAGUGGGAAAAACUCACAAAACCCACAACCCCAAUACACCCAAAUGGAACCUCACUAGAACACUCAAGUGGAAGCUCUCUCAAAUUCUCUCAAAGAACUCACUUGCAAUUGCUCUCUACUUCUCUCAAAUUGGGAUGGUUACAAUAGCAAAAUGCUUCUCUAUUUAUAGAUUGCAUUCUGCUCCAAGUUAGGUUCAAUUUGUCAAAACGUUGAGCUGGAUCUUGUAUUGCAUGCACGAGCUUUUCAACACCUAACUUUGUCUUUUGAAAUUGCUUAGCCGACCAUCUUUGCUUUUUUGAAUUUGGCAAGCAAUUCUUUGACUUUUCAACACUCAUUCAAGUGGCUAUAACUAAGAUAAAACGUCGCAAAGGAAGAGUAAUUAAAAAAUGUAACUUCUUUAACAUGUCCAUAUAGCAUUUUUGUUUACAAGUGAAUUUGUGUGAUAGAGAGAGGAUGUAAGCAAGAUAGUAAACUCCUAAAUAUAUUAUUGUUUGUAAUGUCUAAAAUUUGAAGAGAAUCAAGCUAAUAAAACUCCAUUGAAAUUAGACCUUCAAGAGUACGGUUCUUGGGCAUUAUAAAAUGUUGUAAUGUUGAGAGAUUACCCAACCAUUAUGGAAUCCUACCAAGAUGAUUGUUACCACUAAGAUACAAUCCUUCUAGUGAACAACAAUUAGACAAAUUUUUUGGAGAUCUCUCUUACAAAGUCAUUACCAUCCAAUCGCAAUUUUGAAUGAAAAUAAAUUUUUUUUAUUGGGAGUUUGACCUUAACAUUAAAUUUAGACAAUGAAUUUUAACUUUCUUCAAUUAUUAAGCAGAUUACGGACAUUUGAGGAAUUUGAAAACAUUUCAUCCAUCGAAAGUUAAAAUUAGAGAUGGAAGCUAGGUGCUACAGCUAAUGGGAACAUUAAUUCCUGUCCCUCAUCACACUUUAUUUUGGGUCUAAUAAUUUUACGGCAGCAUUGACCACUGCUCAAGGUAAGUAAAACUUACAAAUGUGUGGCAAAAUAAAUAAUUAAGUGGAUAAACUGUUAACUAAUUUUCUUGAUAUAUACAGCUAAUGUAGUUGUUCCUCUGUUAAAAAAACAAAUGCUAAGCAAUUUCGGCUGAGCCUGCUUGUGGUGUUGAUAAAAACGAGGGCUGGCUUCAAAUAUUUGAAUAGACACCUCCACCGUACCUCAAACAAAUCUGUCAUUAUUUGUGCCAUGAAACAUGUUUCGGCCGUCAAAGUCAUGAGAGGGUUGAUGACGCUACUACGUAUGAUGACACACCAGCCGACAGUGUAGUAACAGCUCAAAAACAAAAUCUACCAAAAUCAACGGAAGUUAAUAAAAAAUUAUUUUAUUAAUAAAAAUAAAUAAAUAACUUAUUAUUUUUGGAGACGUGUGUAGUUGAGUCUGUGGACUGAAAUGGAAAAUAUGAAGAAGUUCAGAGUCGUUGUGCAGAUUGACUUCAGUUAAAUGGGACUAGUAGAUAUUUUAUGCUGACGUGGCACGAAUUAGUUAUAAUCUGUUACAACGUUUCCAGAAACAUCAGUAUAAAUAGAAGCUGAUGAGCAGUGCCUGUUGUACUUGUACGAUCCUUUUUCUUCUUCAGUUGUUCGUCAAUUUGCAUAGAAUCUGUUUCAUUGUGAUCUGUGCAAAGUCUUCUAUAAAUCCACUUAUGUUUGAUUAGUUAUUGAUCAAUAUCGAGAACAUUAUCCACCUGGAACGACUUCAAGUCCAAAGUAAAAGAGAGAGUGGCUCCCCGCAAUUUUCUUGUUUUCAGUAUAUUUUCUUUUUUUUUUCUUUUUUAAAAUCUUUUGACGCAUGCAUAAUCUACCCUUGUUUAUUAUCUCUACUUUGCUCUGCUCAAGUCCAUUUUUUCAAAUCUUAUUUUAAAUAAUAAAUUGAAUAAAAGUACAUUUGUGUAAUUAAUUAGUAUCUGAGGGGGGCAGCAUAUUUGGUGGAGUGUUAUGCUAUGUAAGACUCAGCUAUUAUCAAACAGUCCCUUAACCAUUUAAUUUAAACCAACUUCUAUUUGGUUUAUUUGCUAUCUUUGUGGAUCUCAUAGGCGUGGCAGAGUUUAAUAAUUUUAUCGUCUGAAGAAUAGGAUAUUGGCUUCAAUAAAUUUAAUUUAAACCAACUUCUAUUUACUCCAUCAAUUAAUUAAUGACAUUUUGUUUUGAAAAAUUCAAUAAUUAAAUUCUCACGUUUCAUGUGUUUGAAGUCAAAUUAUUCAUUAACUAGAACUCUGUUCAAAAUUGACUGUCUUGUGGUUCCCAAAUGUAGUUGUAAUAUUGAAUGAAAGUAAAAACUUUCUAUGGCGAGUUUAAAUCUAAAUCUGGACAAUGAAUUUUGAGUUUCUCAAUGCUAUUCUAAUAACAAAAAUUAUGUUGAUUGAUUUAUUGUUACAGUUACUAUCCUUUGAAAAUGGAUGGAUUCAUUGUUUCCGUGACCAAAUUAUGCCUGCCUAACGCUGCAACUAUUAAAAAAUUUAAUAUUUAAUGCACAUGUUAAAAGAUUUAAAAUUUUAUGCAUUUAUUAAUUGUUAUAAUCUUAAAAAAAAUUAAUUAAUUCAGGUCAAUCUGAGUUGGUGCAUCUGCAGGAGCCUUUUUUUAAUUUUUUUUUCCCCUUAUUGACCAUAAUGACAUCUCCUUCAACAUGACUAUUGACAAAGAGCAUGUAAAAACAUGGAAACAGAACUUCCACAGGUGGAAUUUAAGUUUUGGCCAUGUGGCCAUGAAAGAAAAAGGAAAAGACGCCUCUAAGAUUUGUUUCAGUGGUUUACAUUGACUCUUUAAUUUAAUUUAUAGUAACACAAUUUUUUUUGUACAAAUAUAUAUUAUUCAUGUUUUGUAUUAUAUUUUAACAUCAUAUUUUUAUUUAUUAUAAAUAUUUAAAGCUAAUUUUUAGGUUGAUAUUUAAUAAAAGGGUAUAAUCGUUCCAUCCAUUUCUCAUCUCGCGAUCUCUCUCAAUUAUCCUUUAUUGAUAGCUCAAAGCGCGUUGCUGUGGAAAAUUGUAGCAAAAUGAAAAAUUGGAAAGAAAGGGAAGAAAAUUAAUGCUUGGAGAAAGCAAUCCAAUAAGUCAACUGGUCUUUAGUGGGAACAUAUUACAAAAAGGCCUCGAUCAUCAUAUCGUAGACUCGGGGAUAAGGAUUUGGAUCGAGUUUUUGUUUUGAUAUUGAAGGACCUACUUCUCUGCCGCGAUGUAGAAUAUAUGCAAGGAGUUGUCUACUGCUCUUUAGGUCAUAAUAAUGUGAUUGGUGCAUUCAACGUUGCCCCGAAACACUGGAAAGUACUUCCAUAUCCUCCGAAUGAGAACUGAUUUAUAUAUGAUUUCCUAAUUGACUCAGGAUCAGAUGACAACAACAACUUAUUAAUAGUUAUAUCAAAACGGCAGAAGACGUGUUUUGUUUACAGGUUUGAUCCAUUUGGAAUGAAGUGGUCUCAAGUCGAAAGUAAUUUAUCGAAUAACUUUCGACUAAUUAAUAGUUAUAUCAAAGGGUGUGGGUGUUUUACCUCAUCAUGUCUUCAAGUGGAAGAUGAAGACUAGCAAGUGAAUUCAGGAAUAUUGCAUGCCAUUAAAUUUGUAGUUUUUACAUGUUGAUCAGCAGGAUACAACAUUAAAUUUUGUCAUUGACAAUACUGCAUGCCUGUCGUCUAAAGCAUUACCUCACAAGGUUUUAUGAGAAACGAAAGAUGUGUUUGCUUUGAACAAUUAAAGUUACUGCUACGAACCUCCCCAAAGGUCAAGAAGACAGAACAGGAAGCUAAUGCCAUCAAUGUCUUGUUCAUUAUAGCUGCUGGGUAGUUAGGUGUAGUUUCCUCAUUUGAAGCUGUCUAUACAUGGGCAUUUCCCCUGCUUAUGUACAAAUAAAUGAACAACCUUGAAGCUUUAUUAUUCGCAACAAAAAGGGAUUACUAAUUGGAGAAGACUAUACAGAGUUUCUCUCACACUUUCACUCUGUCAAUUUCAUCUAGAAGUCCCUCUAAAAGCAUCUCCCAAAACAGUUAGUCAUCUUUUAUGCUCUGUUUGUAAAAAAUGUGGGCUUUAUUCUUUCUAGAAGAGAUGGAAUUCUAGAAGAGAUGGAUUUGCACGGUCAAAAAGAAAAGAAAAGCCGUAAAAUAAACAGUAGCCGCAAAAUGAACAGUAGCCGCAAAAUGAACAGUAACCGCAAGAUGAACAGUAGUCACUGGUGGCUAUAAAUAGAGGAGUGCUCCUCCUUAUUGUUUGUAUCCAAAAUCCCAGAGAAGGAAUCCAAGUUUUGGUGAGAAAUUGAGAAAGAAAAAUAUUCUUAAGCAUGUAGUUAUAUUGAAGGAGCAUUUGUCUCCUCAAUAUGGGUAUUACGAGUUUGCUUUGUUAAGAGGUAUUUCUCAAGAUUAUGUAUUUGGGGUUUGGGUGAGAGAAAAUUUAUGAGAGUGCGGUUGUAAUAAUUUUCCACAUAGUGAAUAUUUUUUCUCUGGUUGUCUUUUUGACAACGGCCGUGGUUUUUUCUCCGGAUUUGGAGUUUUCCACGUAAAUCUUGUGUUGUGGGAUUGAUAUUAUUUUUCAUUUAAUUUUUCUUGUUAAUUUGUUAAUUGACAAAUUGCUUGGAGAGAUCUUGGGAGGAAGCUCAAUUUCCUAACAGUGGUAUCAGAGCCAUUGAUUGAAGUUUUGGUGUCGGGGUACUAUUCACGUAUACGGUACUGUUCACGUGAAGCAGUUUGAGCCAAUCCGAAUAAUCUGUGGUGAAGAGAAUAUGAAGCAAAUAUGUCAGCAGCUGGUGUUUUUCAAACUUGGUUGAAGUUUGAUGUUGUUGAAAAAUUAAUGGGAGAAUGAUUUUAUUGGCUUGUGGAGAAUUCAAGUCAAAGGUGUAUUCAAUCUGGGUUACACAAGGCAUUGAAGGGGAAGCCAUCCCCUGCGUCCAGUGGUGGCUCUGGAAAAGCUAGUAUAAGUGAUGAAGAUUGGGAAGAAUUAGAUGAUCGAGCUGCAAGUGCCAUACGACUAUGUCUAGCAAAGAAUGUUCUUGCAAAUGUAGGAAAAAUUCUUACAGCGAAAGAACUUUGGGAGAAGCUAGAAAAGUUGUAUCAGACAAAGAGCAUCUCAAAUCGAUUGUACCUGAAGGAGCGAUUUCACACACUGCGAAUGGCUGAAGGUAUAAAAAUUUCCGAUCACCUCAGUGUUCUCAAUGGUAUUGUGUCAGAACUAGAAGCCAUUGGAGUUAAAAUUGAAGAUGAGGACAAGGCGCUUAGGUUACUAUGGUCACUUCCAACUUCCUACAAACACUUGUUACCUACUUUGAUGUACGGGAAGGAUACAGUAGAUCUUGAAGAAGUUACUAGUACUUUACUCUCAGAAGAAAGAAGACUGAAUGGUGAAAGUACUAAAACUACAGAUGUCUCGGCUUUGGCAGUUGUAGGGAAUUGGCAGAAAGAUAAAUCUAAGAAGAAAGGAGUCUGCUGGGGGUGUGGACAAUCGGGGCACUUAAAAAGAGAUUGUCAUAGUAGAAAUGGAGUAGGAUCGGCAAGUGGCUCCAGAUUAGAUACUGAUAGUAUUGCUAGUGGUAAGUCUCUCAUCAUCAUGGGAGACGAUGAUCCCUUGUAAAAUGGAUGAUGAUGACAUCCUCAUGGUAUACCGCUAGUACCAUGAAAGGGGAUAUGUUACUACUAGCGGGUCCACAAGAUUUACACACAAGGCAUGGUUGGCAUUGAUGCAGGGUGUGUGGUGGAAUUUAUGUCGAUGAUUGACAAACUUCCAGGAAGGCCAACAUGGAAGUUGCACCAUAAAUUUCAGCAGGAUAUUUCGACAUGUGCCGAUGUAAAAUUCUUAGAAUUGGUAAUUAAUUCUAAGUGGUAUAUUCUUUAUGGUGGAGUAUGAUAAUUCUCUAUGACGAGGAUUAUGACUUAGGUGAAAACAGUAAGGACAGUGUGGAGAUUGAUUGGUUCUUAAUCAAAUCUCCAAGUGAGAGAAUGUAAAAAAUGUGGGCUUUAUUCUUUCUAGAAGAGAUGGAAUUCUAGAAGAGAUGGAUUUGCACGGUCAAAAAGAAAAGAAAAGCCGUAAAAUAAACAGUAGCCGCAAAAUGAACAGUAACCGCAAGAUGAACAGUAGUCACUGGUGGCUAUAAAUAGAGGAGUGCUCCUCCUUAUUGUUUGUAUCCAAAAUCCCAGAGAAGGAAUCCAAGUUUUGGUGAGAAAUUGAGAAAGAAAAAUAUUCUUAAGCAUGUAGUUAUAUUGAAGGAGCAUUUGGCUCCUCAAUAUGGGUAUUACGAGUUUGCUUUGUUAAGGGGUAUUUCUCAAGAUUAUGUAUUUGGGGUUUGGGUGAGAGAAAAUUUAUGAGAGUGUGGUUGUAAUAAUUUUCCACAUAGUGAAUAUUUUUUCUCUGGUUGUCUUUUUGACAACGGCCGUGGUUUUUUCUCCGGAUUUGGAGUUUUCCACGUAAAUCUUGUGUUGUGGGAUUGAUAUUAUUUUUCAUUUAAUUUUUCUUGUUAAUUUGUUAAUUGACAAAUUGCUUGGAGAGAUCUUGGGAGGAAACUCAAUUUCCUAACACUGUUUUCUAGAAACAGAGUCCUAACUAAAUUGAUUGACUGAACAGUGCAUUUCAACAUAGCAUAUUUAACUGUUUAAACAGUUAUUUGAACCGUCUUCAGAGUUAUCAUCAACAAACUCAUUCAUACUGGUCCAAUCUUACGGACGAUAUCAUAUGCUUAAUAAUGAACGAAUAGUCUUGGAUCAGUGUUUUGCGGCAAGAGCAACUCGACACAAUCUGGAUUCAACCUCCUCCUAUCUAACAAGGGAUUUCGAUUUGAGUUACUUGGUGCUCAAGCAAAUUCACAUCAUAGUUUUGAUUCUUUAGAUAUGAAUUCAUCACAUUACAUAUAUCAGAUUAAGUGUAACAAAAUUCUUUAUCUACUGCGAAAAUAAUAUGCGCUAAAAAAUGAUUUCAAGACUAUUUGACUACAAAAAGCAGCUGCAUGGCUCAGCCUCAGGUAAGAAAGCCACAGAAAAGGAAAAUCUCACUGUCACGACUCACGUCACGCAUCAUUCAAGUGAUGGAUUUAACAAGACUGCUUAUGUUCUAUCAAAUUCCUCUGCCUCUCAGAAGAUAACUUUUCUGGGCCAAAUUUCUCAUCUAAAGCAUAUUAUGCCCCAAAGUCAGAGAUAACAAAAUGGGGCACUACCGAUUAUGAAAGAGAGCUAGUAGUUGUCAGAAGCCUAAGUCAAAUUCCGGUAGUAAGAAGAGGCCUUUCUUGAGUUUAGAUUAUGUGUUCGAGUUUUAAUAAAUGCCUAAGUUAAUAAUAAUAACAACAGUAAUAAUAAACUAAAAAGCAUAAUUACUAUUGAAUGGUAAAAAAAAAAAAUGAAAAUGUGUGAACUCCAAUAACCACCCCAGUGGCGAAUUUUGGAGAGGGCUAGGCCGGGCUUCUUAGAAAUUAUUUUUAUUUAAUUACAAAAUCACCUUUACUGAAACCUAUAUAAAAUUUUUUAUAUUAAUUAAUUAUGUUGCCUCUUCAAUUAUCAUUGAAUUCUUGUCCGUUCAUCAUUUGAUGGAUAAAUGUGUAUUUCAAUAAUUUCAAAUAAUGUCUAGAACAAAUAUUUUGAAUGAUAAAACUCAUUAUGUCCUGCAUUACUAGAUGUAUCUAUAAUUUAUUAUUUACAAAUUAUAUUGUAUGAUAAAAAUGUAUUGAAUUUUUUAAAAAAAAAAAAGUUCGGCUCACUCAGAAAAAAAUGUUAUUAGCUUCGCCACUGCACAAAUCUAGAAUAAUAAUUAUUCCUUAUUAUAUUGACUGCACCAAGCAAUAAACUAAUAAGUUCUCAUUAGUGGUUUUUAAUCUUUUUAAUUCUUUUUACCGCACACCUGAUCAAUAAUUCUAUUUUGUUAACUAAUCAAUUGCAAAUCAUAUAUUAGUGUUGAACGGUGAACAAAAUUGAAAAAAAAAAUUCUUAAAAAACGUGUGGACUCGGAUAGCCAGACCAGAAAUCUAUGACAAUAAUUAGCUUUGAUGCUGGGAAUCUUUUAGUUUCUGGCCGUAUUGACUCCACCAGUGAUGCUGGGAAUCUAAUGGAGCUCAUUCUUUGGUUUUACUUGCAGGUCUAGAAGCAGGUGUCAUCUUGUAAAGAAGGAAAAUAAUAUUUGCCUUUUUGAAUAAUUUUAUUGAACCAGGAGACGCAGCUAUAUACAAGAGAUUUCCUACAAUCAUGCUAAUCUAUUCUAGGUAGUCUAAGGGCCAGUUUGGUAAUGCUGCAGCUUUUAAAAUAAUUACUGUUAGCUGUGCUGUAGAAAUAAUCAGCUGUGAAGAGAAUCAGUUAAGUGUUUGGUAAAUUUUAUUUUUAAAAGUACUGUGAAUUUUGAAAGCAGUUAUGGGUGUUUGGUAAAUCUUAUUGUUAAACUGCUGUAAGAAAAUAAAUGACUAAAAUGUACAUAAUGUAGGAUGAAAUUUACUUAUACAUAUAAAAAUAUACACGUACAAUAUUAUAAUAAAAAUUGCAUAGGCAUAGAAUUGUUUAUAUAUAAACAAACCCAAAUAAGACAAACAACAAAUAUUAUAAUAAAAAAUACAUUGAAUAUGCAUGAAAAGGGUGAUGAAUCACUUACUGUUAUUGAAUAUGGUUAUGGAACACAUACUGGAUCUUGCUUUGUUGCACUAGAGAAGUUUUGAUAGAACACAAAAUAUGAAGAAAUAGGGUAAACGAAAGGUGUGUGUUAAUUAUAAUAAAAAAUUAUUAAAAUAUUGAUUUUAUUUCCAAUUUAAAUAAGGAUAAUUUCGGGUUUAAGUAAUAAUUGUAAGGAUAUUUAUGGAAUUAUAUUAAAGGAUAAAAUUGAUUCUCAAAAUCAAAAUCUAAAAGUUACUCCUUCCCUGCUUUUCAAAAUCAGCUGUAGGAGGAGCUGAUUCUGGCAAAAGUAAUUUUGAUUUUUUUUUUACCAAACACCAAAAUUAGCUUUUAGAUUUUUAAAAUCACUUUUAACCCUCUCAAAAGCAAUCCCAAACGGGGCCUAAAUAUAAAAGGCAACUAAACAAAUAUACAACUAAUACAAUAUAUUCGUCAAUGAAUGGUCAGAUAUCAUUGACCUUUCCUUCUCAACACUCCCCCUCAAGUUGGAGAGUGGAUGUCAAGAACUCCCAACUUGCGUAUCAUAGUUGAGAAAGCUUCCUUUCCCAAUGGCUUGGUGAACACAUCUGCAAGUUGAUCUGUUGAGGCAACAUGUUUGGUUACAACUGAACCAUCUUGUAUUUUGUCACGAAUAAAAUGGCAAUCCAUCUCUAUAUGUCUGGUUCUUUCGUGGAAAACGGGAUUGGCAGCUAUAUGUAAGGCUGCUCUGUGUUAUCACAAUAUAAUAAUGCUGGCUUCGGAUGCAAUAUUCUCAAAUCCUUCAAUAAUGAGCGUAGCCAGGAUAAUUCACAACAUGUACCUGUCAUGGCUCUAUAUUCAGCUUCUGCUGAGGAGAGAGAUACGGUUUUCUGCCUCUUUGUCCGCCAAGAAAUAAGAGAAGAUCCCAGAAAAACACAAUAACCCGUAGUGGAUCUACGAGAUAUUGGACAACCAGCCCAAUCCGAAUCAGAAAAAGCUCGCAAAGAUAAAUCAUUCUGAGAAAGGAAAAACAAACCUUGCCCUGGACUAUUUUUCAAAUAACGCUAUACACGCAAGACAGCUUCCAUGUGUGGUCUACGUGGUGCAUGCAUGAAUCUGCUUAACACAUGGACCGAAUAGGUGAUAUCCGGUCGGGUAAUAGUUAAAUAAAUUAGGCGUCCAACAAGUCGUCUAUACUGAGACGGAUCUUUAAGCAAUUCACCUAAAUCCGAGAGCUUUAUGUUUUGUUCCAUGGGAAAGUUCACAGGUUUAGCACCCAAAAAUCCACCAUCUUUUAAAAUUUCCAAAGUAUAUUUUCGUUGCGAGAUGGAAAUACCUUUCUUCGACCGAGAAACUUCGAUGCCCAGAAAAUACUUCAAAUCACCCAAAUCUUUAAUUCGAAAAUGACUAUGUAGAAACUGCUUGAGGGAUACUAUGGCAUUGACGUCAUUACCCGUAAUAAGAAUGUCAUCGACAUAUAUCAACAAAGCUGUAAACGAUUUGCCUUUCCGACAUGUGAAUAACGAGUAAUCAGCUUUGGAUUGAACAAAGCCAGCAGCUUGGAUAGCUGUAGAGAACUUGGCAAACCAUUGUCGGGAAGCUUGCUUUAAGCCAUAUAACGACUUGUGAAGGCGACACACUAGAUUCUCCCCCUGUCGCCGAAGACCAGGAGGUGGAGACAUAUAAAUUUCUUCAUGGAGAUCGCCAUGAAGAAAGGCAUUGUUGACAUCAAGUUGGUGAAGAGACCAAUUCUGGGCAGCUGCUAAAGCCAAUAAACAACGAACAGUAAUCAUUUUAGCAGUGGGAGAAAAAGUGUCAUGGUAAUCUAUACCUUCUAGCUGUGUGUAACCUUUUGCAACCAAACGAGCUUUGAAACGCUCAAUACUACCAUCCGAGUGUCGUUUGAUUUUAUAAACCCAACGACAACCAAUAGGCUUCUUACCAGGAGGAAGAGAAGUGAGGGACCAAGUGUGGUUGGCUUCUAAAGCAGCCAAUUCAGAUUGCAUUGCUUCUUGCCAAUGGGAAUGGGAAGCUGCUUUGGCAUAAGAUGUAGGCUCAAUAUCUUGACUGACAGCAGCAGUAAAAGAGCGAUGUUGUGGUGAGUAACGAUGAUAAGAGACAAAAUUGCAAAGGGGAUAUCGUGUACCUUUUUGUAGACUUGAUGACAAAGGCGGCAAAUGGUUGGGAGACGUUACUUGGUUACAGACAUAAUCACGUAAAGCCAUGGGAGGGUGAUGAGGUCUUUGGGAACGACGUAAAAUGGGUUCGGGAGGAGGACUAGCAGGUGAUAGCUGAGUAGAAACUAAAUUCGGUGGUAAUGGUUGUUGGAUGGGAGAAAUUGGUUCCGGUGGUAAGGGUUGUGGAACUGGUGGGGAAGGAGCGGAUAUAGAAAGAGGAAUCACAUGGUCUGAAUUUAAGGAAGGGGAUGGAAUAGACUCAUAAGGGAAAAUAGUUUCAUGAAAAACAACAUCACGGCUAGUGAACAUUUGGUGGGUGUCAAGGUCAUAGAGCUUGUAAGCUUUUUGACCAACUAGAUAGCCAAGAAAAAGACAUCGUUUAGCUCGAGGAGCAAAUUUAUGGGGGACGUGCACAUUAGUAGCAUAGGCAAGACACCCAAAAACUCGGAUAUGAGAAUAAGAAGGAAGCUUUCCAUAAAGUCGUUCAAAAGGAGUUUGGCGAGAAAGGAGUGGUGUGGGCAAACGAUUAAUUAUAUGAACAGCAGUAGAAACACAUUCUGCCCAAAAAUGUAAAUGAAGGUGGGUUUGAAAACGAAAAGCUCGAGCGGAAGCAAGAAUAUGGCGGUGCUUGCGCUCUACAACCCCAUUUUGUUGAGGGGUAUAGACACAAGAAUGUUGGUAAGUGGUCCCUUUUUGUUUAAAAAAUUCCCGCAUAGAGAAGAAUUCUCCACCAUUAUCAACCCAAAUGUUGGCUAUAGAUACAUGGAAUUGGGUUUGGACAAAUGAAAAAAAAUUGACAAGUAAAUGUUGUGUUUCACUUUUGUGAUGCAUAAAAAACACCCAUGUGAAUCUAGAAUAAUCAUCCACAAUAGUCAAAAAAUAUUUCGCACCAGAAAGAGAGGCAAUUUUAUAGGGACCCCAAAUGUCACAAUGAAUUAAUUCAAAAGGUCUAAUAGAUGAAAUUGAACUAAUAGAAAAUGGAAGUCGACUUUGUUUUGCAAGUGCACAAACAUCACAAGCAUUAUUAGACUGGGAAGGGAAAUUUAACAAAUGUUUUGCCAUAAAAUCUAAUCUAGAGGAAGACAAAUGCCCCAAACGGCGAUGCCACAAAAUGGUGGAGGAGGUGACCUGAGAACUGGGUGAACAGCAAGAAGUGGCUGCUGCGGAUGGAGUUUGAGGUUUUGGUUUUUCUGAUGCUAACGCAACCAAGUAAUAAAGUCCGUCUCGUUGUUCACCCAAACCAAUUGUCGUCCUCGUCGUCAAGUCCUGCAAAAUACACCAAUGAGGGAAAAAAGUUACUGAACAAUUGAGAUCUCUGGUAACUCGACUCACAGACAUUAAAUCCACCUUAAAAGAUGGCACACCAAGCACAUUUUGUAAAGUAAUAGCAGAAUUCAAAGGUAAAUUCCCAAUGGAUGUAAUCGAAGCCUGUUCUCCACUUGGCAUAGCAACUGGUGGCAAAAAAGUGUUCUUAUUGCUGUUGACAAGCAAAGUUGGUGAUGAAGUAAUGUGGUCUGUUGCACCACUGUCGAUAAUUAAUCGAUGGAGGCGCAACAAUCUUUGUAACAAACCUGAGGCAGCAGCAUUAGCUUUAGGAUUGGUGGAUUGUGUUGUCCCUUUACCCUGCAUGAUAGAUAAGAUUUGUUGGAUUUGCAAGUCAGAGAGCCCAUUUGUCACUGAUGGCACUUCCUGCAUUACUGGACUUUCCUUGACAUUGUUGGCUGAAGAUUGAUGGUUAUUGUUGCGCUUGAAAUGAGUGCUUCCUUGAUUAGAUUUGUUUGAUGCAUGUUUAGGGUGUUCUGGUGGGUACCCAUUCAGCUUCCAGCAUUUUUCUCGUACAUGAUGGUCACGAUCACAAUAAGAGCAAUGCAAAGGUUUUCGAUUAGAUGGGUUGGAACGAGAAGAAGAACCUUGUUCAUGUCGAACAGCUAGAGCUACCGGUUCAGCCCUUCGAACAAUCAUGGCUGAGUUCUCCAUCAUCUCACGUGCAACCCCCAGGCUGCGCUGCUUCUCCUCUUGUACAAUGGAAGAGUAAGCCUUAGCAACAUCAGGUAGCGGAUUCAUCAACAAAAUCUGCCCUCGGAUUGCACUGUAGGACUCAUUGAGUCCCAUGAGAAAUUGCAUCAAUCUGCGUCUCUUAUGGUCUGCCCCACAAGAGCAAACGGUGUCAUUAUAGGAUCCUAGUUCAUCCCAUAAUUUUUUUAGCCUUGUGUAAUAAGCUGCAACAGUCAUCUGAUCUUGAGCAAGACAAGCAAUGUCCCUCUCAAUCUGAAAAAUACGAGGGGCAUUGCUUUGAGAAAAACGAUCCCGAAGGUCUUCCCAUACCUCCUGGGCGGUGGUCGAAAAUAUGACACUGUCUGCAAGGUCUUGUGUGAGUGAAUUGAGAAUCCAAGACAGGAUCAUAUCGUUGCAUUUUUUCCACGAAGCACAUUCGUCUGGUUUGGCUGUGGCAGACGGCAUUGUGGUGGUCCCGUCUAUGAAACCUAACUUGGAUUUGGCAUUCAAAGAAAUCGUCAUGGCUCUACACCAUGUCGAAUAAUUAUCCCCAUUAAGGGGCUUGGAAACAAGCACCAUUCCUGGAUGAUCAGAAUGAUGAAGAAAAUAUGGAUUGGCAGCAUCAAGCUUGCCUCCAUUCGAAGGUUGCUGUUCCGUCAUGAUAAUGAGUAACAACGAAAAAAGAAAGAGGGCAGAGAGCUAGGGUAUCGUUCCCUGCUCUGAUACCAUGUAAAGAAGGAAAAUAAUAUUUGCCUUUUUGAAUAAUUUUAUUGAACCAGGAGACGCAGCUAUAUACAAGAGAUUUCCUACAAUCAUGCUAAUCUAUUCUAGGUAGUCUAAAUAUAAAAGGCAACUAAACAAAUAUACAACUAAUACAAUAUAUUCGUCAAUGAAUGGUCAGAUAUCAUUGACCUUUCCUUCUCAACACAUCUAACAGCUGCUUUGAUAAUUUCCCACACCUUCAUCUUUGAUGGAAAUAUGAAAUAAAAACAAAUUGGUGAAAAUGGUUUUGGUACCCGCGGCUCUGUAAUCUAUUUCAAAAACUACACCAUCAAAACGACUGCAUAAGAAUCUAACUUCUCCUCUUGAUUUUUAUGGGCAUGUUGUGUAGUCCAUGCAGACAAAAAUCAUAUUUUAGUUUACUCUUACUCAAUGCUUGGAUUAAAGGUUUUUUUUUUGGGGGGGGGGGGGGGGGGGGGGGAUUGAAGCAGACUAAAAUGACACAAAAAAUAGUUGAACGAGUGUGGGUUUUGUCUUCAUUUUAGGAGAUCUUUAUAAAUUUUAGGAUUUUUUUUCCCGAGAAAAUUUAUGCCAACUCAUUCUUUGCUUCUUUUAUGAAGGGACAGAUGCAACUGAAAGUAUAUUCUUGAAUUCUAUAAGAGACAGCAGUUUAGAUUCUCGAGCCUUCAAAAAAAUAUCAAAUUCUAGAUUGCUGAAAUUUUAUAUAUCCAAGUAUGAUGGUGCACCAAUUAUUAACUCCAGGGUGCAACUUCACCGCGGAUUAGAAUGUCUUCCUGCAGAAUUGAGAAAUCUCCAUUGGCAUAAAUAUUUUUUUGAAAAUACUGUCAUUAGAUAUUUUUAUUAUUCAUACUUCAUUGCACAAGGCACCACCUGGCUUCUAUUUCAAGCCCUAAUAAUGAUCCGCUGCUGGAAAAGAAUUUGUGCAGCAUGUACGCUCCUUGACCACAACAGCAAAGUUUAUUGAUGUUAUUUCAUAUUCUGCUGUGAGUCAAAUAAAAAUUUACUAUGCCCUUUCGGCAUGGCUUGCCUUUCAGCAAAAAAAGAAAAAAAAUCUUUCAAAUUGUGGAAGCAUGCUUACAUUAAUCAGCUCAGUAUGUUAUGUUUCAAGGGAUGCAAAAUUCGUUUUGUUUCUCAUGGAAGAAUUGACUUGUCUGGAUGUAUUAAUCUCAUAGAUUUUCCACAGAUUCGUGGGAAUAUAACAAAGCUAGACUUAAGUGAGAUCCCAAUAGAAGAAGUUCCGUCAUCAAUAAAAUGCCUAGCUGAUCUUAAAACGUUGCGUUUGAGUAAGUGCACGAGGCUGAAGAGGCUUUCCAUCAAGCAUUUGUAAAUUGAAAUCUCUUCUUGAGCUUUAUCUCUAUAACUGCUCAAACCUUGAAAGUUUUCCAGAAAUCAUGGAGAAAAUGGAACGUUUAAAGAUAUAAAUUUAGCAAGGACGGCCAAUUACAGAGCUGCAAUCUUGAUAGCCUUCGGGAUAACAUUAGCAAUUUAAAAUCUUUGAGGUACAUCUCUACUAAUGGAUCAGCCAUUAGUCCUCUGUCGCAGGUUCGGUUGUACUUAAAUAUCUAUCAUUUUCUCAAUACAGAGGUUUGGUAUCAUUGCCUCCAAUAUUAUUGUCAGGUUUAGGUUUAUCGAAUUUGUUACAGCUAAAUUUAAGAGACUCUGCUAUAAUGGAAAUUCCCCAAAAUAUUGUUCGUCAAUCCUCAUUGAAAAUUUUAAAUCUAAAGGCUUGUUUGUUAACUACUUGAAGUAUGUAGUUAAUGCUUUUUUUUUUUUUUUUGUAAUUUAUGUUUGAUUUGAGAUAUUUACAUUUGAAUAAAAAAAUUAAACUUUUGUUACAUUUAUCUAAAAAAAAAAAAGGCUGAAUGGGAAGUAAAUAAUUCCCUUUUUCGUUUUAACUUACAAAAACAUAAAUGUUAACUAUGUUUAAGAAAUUUUUUAUUUAUAAAAAGAAACCAAAUACUACUUAUAUUCGUAUAUCAAAAAAUGAAAAACAAACAUGUUAUUCAUACGUUCACAUACAAACUCAUUCAGACCUCAGCUAAAUACAAAUCCAUUUACAUUUCAAAAAAAUAAAUAAAUACUUCCUAAGCGGGAAUAACUUUGAGAGUUGACUUGCAAGGCUAGAAUAUCUUGACUUGAAGGGUUGCAAUGAUUUCUCAUCAUUGAGAGUUUAUCAUUGUGCUUCAUCAUCAUCAUCAUUAUUAAUAAAAAGGUAAGCAAUUAAGAGUCAAAUUAAACCAGAAAAUCACUCAUCCACGCUUUUGGGACAUCAUUCUGCUCAUUAUUUUUAUUCCGUAUCUUCAUUGUUUUAUUUGGUAAUUAUUACCAUUAGUAAAUAAAGGGAUUAGUUGAUUAUUAUGAACUAACUAAAUGGAGCUCACCCUUAAAUGUCGGCUUGUAUCAGGGAGGUGCCUUAGGGUUAAUAAAUCAACUAAUCCCAUAAUUUGUCGAUGUAGGUGAUGGUUGUUAAAGCCAACAAAAACAAAUACCUACUCUAAAUAAAUUGUGUAUAGUGAUUGAGCAGGGUCGUGUUUACAGAGAUCGGUAAUUAUUUAAAUCCUUUUAAAACGUAAAACAUAAAAUGGGGGUUUUGUUGACAAUAAUAAAAAUCAAAUUAAAAUAACAAGAAUGCAAAUUAAAGUUGUAAUUCAAAUUUGGAGAAAGCUCUGGUUGAAGGAAUUAACUCAGCUUAAUUCGACUACUGAUCAUUUAUUCAAAUAUAAAUUAUUACUACUUAUGAAUAGACCGGUUAUGGCUACUGAGAACCUCUAAUAGCCAAUAUCUCCUUAACUAGUCGAUAACCAAGGUACGACCAUUGAUUAUUUCCCUAAUCAAUAGACAACCCUAGAUACGAUCAUAUGAUUUAAUCAAUUGACAGCCUAAAAAACCAGAGAGACCCAAAUCCUAAUCAACAAACACAUACGAUGGUUCAUUUAAAUUAGAUUGUUUAUUCUCAUAACACAACUCUCUGCUAUGUUAUUUGUCACAAACAUUAAAAUCUUCAUACAAUGAAUCCUUUAAUUGACAAUAGAUUAAGUUGAUAAUUAAAUAGUGGCCAAUUACCUAAUUAACAAACAUAAUCAUGAAAAUAAUUCAGAGAAUAAACAAAUACCCAAAAAGCAAUAAAACAAUUAAAACAUAAGAAAGAUCUCACAGUAGUGAUGAAUCAAAGCUUCAUUAACCUUCAACUAGAAAAAUAGGUUUAGUUCUUCAUAGAGAGAAGAGAAAAGUUUAGAUCUAGCGUUUCUUUCUUUUUCUCCAAUCCCCCCUUUUUCACUAUAGAUUCCUCCCUUAAAUACUCUCUCUCUCUUCUCCUCUAGAGUUCUAUUUAAAAUAAAAUACUAAUAUAUGAAAUAUUAAAUUCGUAAUUACAAAAAUAGCCAAAAAUACAAAACAUGUUAAACUAAAAACUGCAGGUCCGUAGUUGACAGCACGCGCCCACGCCUUAUCAAUAAAGUUCUUCUGACGCUCUAAAUUUCUCCAAGAGAACAAUCAUCUUUAAACAUCAUCUUAUAGCUCAAUUUUAUCACAAAUCAAUAAAAUUGCACCUACAAAAGUAAAACACAAGUAAAUCAUUAUUAUUAAGUGCAAAACAUCGAUAUUAAGGGAAGUAAACAAUGCAAAACUAGUGCAUAAAUUGCACUCUAACAGUAGGGUAGCAAAUUAUUGCCAUAGAUCAGCACACAUCUCGAAAACAUAUUUGAUCCACACAGUGAAGAUGAUUCAAUAUUAAGCAUGUCAUAUAAUCUGGAGUUGGAUAUUGGAUCAAUUUGAUGAUAAUGAGUUUCUUUCAAUCUCAAUAUGUAUCUUCUUCGCAACAUGACUAGCCAUUGCAAACUCAAACUCUGACAAUGAUUUCUCAAUCGCUUUCUAAGACGAUGAGCAUGUAUGUAUAUAUAUGUGUGUGCACGUGCGCGUGUGUGUUUGUGUACGUAUAUAGAGAGAGAGAUAUAUAUAUAUCACACAUGUGCGCUUUCCUUUUGUCAAUAAGAUAUGCAGAGAGCUUAAUAAUCAUAGAUUAGCUUAUAUCCUUCAAACCAUGUGCUAUGAAGUAAUUUCACAAACACUUGUUGAACGUUAUUGAAUCAGUAGUUCACAGUUCAAUACAAUGUAGGUUUCCUAUUUGAAGUAAAUGAUUAUGGUGUGUGCAUUUUUCAUAAAGCUAACUACUGAAUUUACCAUUGAAACUUGCAAAAUGUAACAGAGAGAUGCAGAUAGCAGCCACGAAACACUAAGAUUGAAAAUCAGGACUACUGAAUUCUAUUACAAGCCCUUAAAAUAGACAACAAUCAUCCUCAAAUGUAUAUACUGAAAGUAAAAAAUAUUAAUCGUAAAGUUAUGCAUUAACAAAACUAUUGAAUACUUAUCUUUAGCUAUAUAUUUUUAAUUGUAGCUCCCUACUUUGUUCUAAGAACUAGGCAAAAGUAGCAUAUCUUCAAUCCAAUCAGCAUAUAUACCGCUCAUCUUCUCCAGUUCUUUCCACUUUGAUUUGCAUUUCAUACCCUGCACUUGCUGCUUAGAAAUAGUCAUAGUUUGCACAUUGACAGUAGAAAAAGUACUUGAAACAAUCAUUGGCAUAGCAUGGGAUUCCAUUGAGUCGCGGUCUCCAAGCUUUCAUGGUUCUGUAAAGAAAAUGACAAAAACAUCAUGCUAUUGGCAUUCUACUUUUAGCAAUUUUCCACAAGCUGAGCUUUUUCAUAUCUCUCUAUAAAUUAUGCUGGUUCAACCUUCAGAUAAGUUUGUGAUAAAGGCAUCUAUGAUUACAAUGGGAAAAUUACAUGAACUUAUGUUAUCAAUCAUUGUUUUGCCUUCUCGUGAUAGAAUUCUGCGCAAUAUAAAACAUGACAUAUCUGUUACUUACCAUGCCAUGUCGUGAACCUAGAAGCAAUGCAAAUUGCAAGGAACAUAUUAAGCUAUCUACUGUAUAUAACAAAUUCUUAUUAGCCCACAAUCUUGUGCCCCAACAUUGAUCAAGUAACACUAUUAUUUCAUUUCCAAAAUGGCAUAUAUAAUCUGAUGUUGAACAAACCAAAUUGGGAAUCAUCAUUCCUUACAUUGAGCUGACAUUCGUACCUGCUAGUCCAUGAGCAAAGUUGCUUAUAUUUCCACACAGGCAGCUCCCCUUAUCUCUCGGUUCCGACAGAGCUUUGUUUUCCCAUCACCAGCUUUGGAUUCAUUCGAUCACUGAUGCUCCGAGUUAGCAAGCCCCUUGUUGUGUUCCCAUUUAACAGACCCACUUCUGUUAUCCACAGAAGAUCCACCACUCAAAAUGCUUAUCACCGAACUAUUCCUAAACUGAGUAGAAACUUCCGCACAUCUCUCGGCAUUUACAUGAAGAAAUCGACACCCACCCUCAUAUUUGUAAGUUUUCUGAUAAUAGAAAUGUCUACAAAGCUGCAUUUCGUUAGGCAAUCUAGUCUCUCCAUUCCUAGCAAAGUGACAUUGAUUCCCGUAUUUGUAAUUGCCUAAUUGGGGUUUUGGCAAUAGCCUGGUCUUAAAAUUACCACCCAUUACUUUGUUCAAUGCCACUGGCAUCCUCUGAUUAGGAACAUUUUCACAAUUUUUAGCCCUGUUAGUCGAAUCACAUUCAAGGGGAUAGUGAGACAGUAUUUCACUAAAAGAUUCAAUUUGACUACACAUAUAAGAAUUUGAAAUCACUUUUUCUUGGAAUAUUUAAUGACCCACCCAGGGUGAAAGUUUUUGAAUGGAAAUUAUUUAAUUUGAUUUGUUUUCCAACAAAUUCAAGAAACCCCAGAUAGUAACAUAAAAAAAAAAAAUCAACCAAUAAUACGCAAUGGGUUUCUUUCUUUUUGCUUUUGGAGGGCCAUGAAGAUCUGGAGUGGGCUGUAAGUAAUAGCCUUUAUCACUGGAGUGACAAAUUUGCAGAAGAUGAUGCAUGGGGAAGGAUUGGGCGAGCAUAAAAAUGGCUUUACACUCUUUGGAUUAGCGCCUCAUUUAGGUUGUAGCGAGAUAAAGAUAUCAUUUAAAGUUUUAUAAUCCUUGUUAUGCUUAAGGCUUCACUUAGUAUAGCAUAGAGCUUUUCUAGUUUAGCAUUUUACAAGUAGAAUUUUUUUAAAUUAUUAUUUAUUUGGUUGUUUUGUUCAGAAGAGCUUUUAAAGCUCCAAAAUCUUUGAUAGUCAGGUUUUUUUUUGGUAAGUAAAACUUUUAACAAAAAUUUAUUAUUCACUUGAUCGUUUACAAGAGUUUUCAUUAGAAGUUAUGUAAAGUUCUUUAAUUUUUUUUAUCAGUGCAUCUUUUUACAAGUAUAAUUUUUAUUUUUUAACAAAAAUUAAUUCAAUAAUAUUAAUAAUCUCAAUAUUUGAGUUUUAAUAUCAUAUGUCACUCAUUUAUUGGAUGACAGAUUUCAUAACUUAUAAAAUUAUUUAACUAACAUCCACUAAGCUAAUGUCACUAUAGUGAAGAUUGAAGUUGAAAUUUAGAUGUUACGUUGGGUAAUAUUGCGCUUAUUUGGUUGUUUAUGAGAGUUUUUUUGUACAAAUUUAUUUUUAUACAAAUUGAUAUAGUCUAAAUUCAUUAAUUAGAUGAAAAUAGAAAAUAAUAAAAAUAAAUCUUGUGUACUAAAAGUUAUUUAAUCUAUUUAAUUGAAUUAUCCUACGUUUGUUUGUACUAAAUAAAUUUAUAUAAAAAUUAAUUCUAUUUUUUGAUGUGCAACUAAACUUUUAGUCUCUUAUUAUUCGUAAAAUUCAAAUUCAGUGGCUUAUCAAAUAAAAUUAAAACUAUUGGUUAAUCAAAUAAAAUUAUUUGAAAUCAUUGGGUGUGGUAGCUGGAGCUCUUGAAAGUUGAAACUAUGGAAGCCAUGAAAUAUACCAGCGAAAAGAGUUCUAAUUUUUAAAUGUCUAUUUUAUAAAAAUUUUAAUAAUAAAAGUGUCGCAUCGACAUUGAACAGUAUAAAAAUUUUUAAUAAUAAUUUUUUUACGUUUGGGGUAUUUUUGUAAUUAUACGAAGGUAAACUAAUCGCAAAAUUCAUUUGGCUUACACUUGCUCUGUGUAUGGUUAUGGCGGUAUCAUUAUCAUCUUCUCCAUUCGUACUGACACCAAACCUUAACCGUUCAGAUUCCCUUUCUCGACUGUCAUACCCUACGCCCCGUCUCCGUGUCUCCGAUAAACAGUGCUCAAUUAAGGCCAUCAGAUUAUCCCGGACCCACAUUGAUCCAACGGCUCACAAUGACCGACGACCUCUCCAUCUCCAUUACAAGCUUCCUCUUCAACUGGCUUCUGCCUCUAUCGUACUCUUUCUCGGAUUCGGAGCCCGUAUAUGCUCGGCUGGUCCUACGGAGCUACCUCUCACUCCAGCUGUCAACCAACAAGACCAAUUGCUUAAUCCAGACACAGAACAACAAGAGGGUGAGAAAUUGAAUCAAGAAUUUGAGAAUUGGAAAUCGAAAACGUACGCAUUGACCGUGCCUUUAAGGGUCGUUUCUCUUCAGAAUUCAGUGCCUCAAUCUUGGGUUAAGGAUUUUAUGCGAAGUCAAGGAAAGAGAUUGAAGUUUCAGAUGAAUUUUUGUGCUAGCACUGAUGGGAUCGUUAAAAAUUUAUCUAUGCCCUCUAACAAAGUUAAGGCUAACUCAGCUUCGUAUAUGGCUGCUGAUUUGGUUAGUGUUGGUGAUUCAUGGCUCAGUUUUGCGAUUAAAAAGAGAUUGAUUGAGCCAAUAGCUGAAGCUGAAGAUCAAGAUUGGUUCAAAUGCUUAAGUCACAAAUGGAAGGUAACAUCUUUGUCUUUGACCGGAUGAUUUUUAUUGUCUUACAUUGAAAUUUGGUAAUGUAAUUUGUUCUCUAUCUGUGUUACCUUUGUAGUGAUUUUUUUUUUUAUUUGCUUUUAUUUGCACUAACAAAGUCUUAGGUAUAUCUACGCAGGAAUGAUGCAGAAGAAAUUGAUCCUCGAGGUAAAAUAUGGGCGGCACCAUACAGGUGGGGCACAAUGGUGAUAGCCUACAAGAAAAGUAAAUUUCGAAAGCAUAAUUUGGCUCCGAUUGAGGUAAUAAUUGUCUUUAAACUCAUUUAGUUUUAUAUGAAACAAAAUCAAGACUGCCUUUCUCUUCAAUAUUUUUGAUGAUAAUAUCUUUAGAAGCAUCUCAUUGACAGGUAAUAAUGGUAUCCCUGAAAGAGUCUAUAAACUCAAUGAUAUUAUCUUCUACAAAUGGUUCAUUAAACUUCUUCGUUGCAGUCAAAUGUACACUAAGAACAAUGAGAAGCUAUGCCACUGUAGCAUGUAGUGAUGGCACUUAAUAAGUGAGUUGCUAGGAUGUGAACUAGAAAAAUUAAAUAUUGUCUCCUUGGGUAUGCUAGCUCGUAAGUCAGGGUUAAUAUUAGAACUUAUGAUACUAUAACCAUGAGAAGCUAUUGACUGCCAAUUAAAAUAUCCAUUAAAAUGUCUAGGGAGUUAUGAAGGUGGAGGUAACUUCCAAUUUCUAAGGCCACAUAGUAGACAUCAUGCAGGAUCCUAGGAAAGUGCAGUUAACCUCCUGGUCGAUGCCAUUAAUAAAUUUGAUCAAUGCCACUGAAACCUGCUAACUGAUGUCACAAUGCGACAUGAGCACUUCAAAAUGGGACAGACGGUCAGUAGCACUAAAUUUUUCUUGUCUAAGAUUGAGCAAUUGGUCUAACUACUAACCCCUAUUGUAGGUUGAUCAUUAUGUUUUUCAAUUAUGUUCAGUUUGACCCAAAACAUUACAGAAUCUUGAUCUGAAUAUUGUCACUGAACACUGUCAAUGUCGUUUGGCAUAGCCAACUAACUUGAGUUUGGUAAAACAAACACACAGUGUGUCUCAUGUCUCACAAUUCAAAUUAUCAUCUGUAAUGAUGGAGAAUUUUUCCAAUGUAUGAAGUAUGCUUUGAUACGUGGGUUACCUUGGGGAAGGUAUCUCAAAAUAAAGAAUAUGGGGAGAAAACAGUGCAGUAGUUUAUUAUUCCGUAGUCAAGUUUUGUCUCAAAAAUGGUCAAAAUUUAAAUGAAUAAGGACAGGGGAUCUUCAGUCUUUUUUCCCUUUUUUUAUACCAAGAUAUCUCUCAACCUUUAUAUAAUCCCACUGGAUAUCUGCUUCUAAUAAUUAAAAUAAAAUUUCACCCACACAAAUAAGUACUGACCAAGCUCUAACAAUAAAAAGUAACAUCUUUAGUCAAGUAAUUUACAGUUCCUCAUCAUCUUAGUGUGAGACUAUCAGUACGAUCCAAGAGCAAAAUAAAACUGGUUUGACCCUGUUUAUUGAUGUUUAAAUGUUGUUCAUUGUGACAUGUAGAAAUGAUGAGGUGAAGUUUCUUUGGUCAUCAAUUAGUAAGAUCUCGUUUGAAGUUGUUUUCUGAAAUGAACUGGCAAAUGGUAGUUUUUUUGGGGCAUUUGAUGGCUCUUUUUCUUUUUUCCUCAUUUUAAACAUGUGCCUGCUUGGAACGGGAUGGAUUAAGCUGCAGGUUAUAUAUUUUGACAUGCUCUGGUCAUUACACAAUUUGUUCACACUGGGAAUUAGGAUGAGAAAUUUGUUGAUGCUGUUUUGAGAGACCUGCAUUCUAUGCACAAUAACCUGAUUAAUGAAAAUGGAUUGUAGAACUGGAAAGAUCUGUGGCGGCCUGAGCUCGCAGGAAGAAUUUCAAUGGUUAAUUCUUCCCGAGAGGUUAUUAUUGGUUCAGUUUUUAAGUAUAUGGGAGCAUCAUACAAUUCAAACAAUAUUGAUUCGCAAGUUGCUGGUGGGAAGAUUGCUGUUCAGCAGAAUCUGGCAUUACUGGCAAACCAGGUACUCUUAAAGAAACGAUAUCUGGUCAUUGCAUGUUAUUGCCUGACAACUGAUUUUGUUUGUAAAAGUCUGCUUCUUCAUACAUAUGAAUGCAUAUGUUAGUGUUUUCUUCUCCUUUUCAUAAUAUAUGAAUGCAUAUGUUAGUGUUGUCUUUUCCUUUUCAAACAUAUUAUACAGAUGUUGGUGUUCUCUCCUGAGAUGGAUGCAAUAAAGGCAUUUGCUGCUUAAUUUAGCUGAAGAAAUGGCAAGGGAUGUGAGAUUCUGUCUCAUUAAAUUAACAAAAACCCAAAACAAUGAAAGCCCAUAAUAAUGUAGUGUGGGUAAAUUGGCGCCAUUUGGUUCGUUUCCUUAAUGUGAAUAUGCGAGCAAUAGAGACUAACAAAAUGAAGUGAGAACAGCAAGUCAGUGUCCUUUGAUGGAUGCUUUUUUAAGCAGAAAUAGGUUUGUAAUUGACCAAAUUUGUCUGGCAUGCCAAUUUCAAAAAAAUUAAAUUGUGUGGUUAUUAGCUGUAAUGAAGGGGCAUAGUAGGUGCAAUUAGGCGGAUCCAGGAAAGUUCAACAAAGUUCUGGUAUGGCCUAUUGAAAUUGGUUUUUGCAAUUCAAGAGUCUUUCAAGUGAACGAUGAGGGGUUUUGAUUUAUAAAUGUUAUAAAUCUACUGUGCAUAGUAUUCUAGUAGAAUCAUCUAUAAGUUCUAGUUAUUGAAAUUGUCUACCUUGUUCAGUUUGAGUUAAGGGCAUAUGUAAUAUGAAAAAUAGUUGUCGCAUCUUUUAGGUUACCUAACAUUUGAUCAAUCCUAUUAUGAGGGCUUCAAGAUGUCUAACAAUAUGCAGAAUGCCCAUGCUCCUCCCCAUUGUUUAUCUUAUACAAUAAUUUGUUUUAGAUGCUAAUAUCUUUGUUGAUACCGGUAACAAUAUUGCAAUAUCUGCGUUUAUUGGGUUUUACAUAGGUUCGACUGUUUGACAGUACACACUAUCUGAAGGCAUUUGGAAUUGGAGAUGUAUGGGUUGCUGUUGGGUGGAGUAGUGAUGUUCUUCCUGCUGUCAAACGUAUGUGAGUAUGUCUAAUGUUGCAUUGUUAUCUCCUUCAUAUUAGCGAUCAGUAAACACGAUAAUGUGACUAAUAAGUUUGUAUUCUCUUUUAUAGAUAAAAAAAUAUUAGAUGACUAGUAAUUAACAUUUAAUUAUAGUUGAAAUAUUGUUUAUUAAAUUAGUCUAUUGUCUAAGAACGGUUAUAAAAUUAAUUUCAACAUAUAAUAAGAACUAUUACAAUAAUUUAUUUAGAUUUAUAUAUAUAGCUUAACUAUGAAUUAUUAAAACCAAUAUAGCUUCAUAGUUUGUGUGUUAAUAUCUAUUUUAAUCUUUUGUUUAUCUUAUUAAUUUUUCAUUUAAAUUUAAAUCUAUGUUAAAGAUGUUCUAUCAAUCAAUUUGGACUAGAGAGUAAAUAAACAAUCUAGUAAUCACACAAUAGAUAUUGUAUAUAAUUGUUCAAUUAUAACAAACUUUAAAUUUGCAUUAAUAUGAUUAGAAGUAUUGUUUUGCAAUUAACCGAAUCAUAGGCUAAUAAUUUUCAAUAUGAAAUAACUAACUUAGGAUAAAUUAAUUAAUUGACUGAUUUUUUUUUUAAUUUGAAUAUCUUGUGUUAUCUCUAGUAAACAAUUAAAUUUGUCCUUCAAGACUUGAAACAAAACAAAUUGGAGGGCGAGUCAGAGGUCCCUCUCCCUUAAUCCAUCAAUGGAUAGAGUUCUGCUUGCAAACAGCAAGAGCAUUGCCUUUCAAGCAAGAGGUUAUGCCGGGCGCAUCUCCCUCUGCCCUUGAAAGACUCUGGUUAAGUUGCCUGAAGAACUUCUGAAGGGUAAACCAAGCCUGGAUACUAACUUAAUUGCUGGAGUACCCCCGGCUGAAAUUCUGGCCAGAUGUGAGUUUUUGGAGCCAUUAUCUGAAGCUACUUUGUCAGAUUAUGAGUAGCUGGUUGCUAAUCUGCAAAAACCUGCUCCUGUCUUGAUGAAAAGGGUGCAACAUUACUUGUCAUCAUUAAUCCAAAGCUUUCCAGCAAAAGCUACACUGAAAAGUUAAUGGCACUGCAUGCCAGUCAUUAUAAUGCUGUCAGGGCAAUUGGUUCAGGGCAACUGGGUCAGAGCAUAACUUCAUUGGGAAAAAAGGCUUCAGCUAGUUACCUAUUACAGUGCGCACUGAGAUGGCAGUUCUUGAGGUUUUAUAAGAAAUGAAAGAUGAGUGCUUGUUUGAACAAAGUUGUUGCCAAUCUCGCAGAGUUCAAGAAGAAAGAUCACAGAGCUAAUGCCACCAAUUUCUUCAUCAUUGUAGCCUGCAUAGUUGAAGUUUCCUCACUUGAAGCUGUUUAUGCAAACGCUUUUUCCCUGCUCAAGUACAGGAAAUUGAAGAAUUAACCAGAUAUGAUAUGCUGAAAGAGGGAAUUUCUUCCUUAGUGGCCUUUUGAUUUGUAGUGAAGGAGUAGGAUGAUCACUAGCAAGAACCCUAUCAAGGUAGAUUUUAUGAUGUUAACAUAUUAUUAAGCAUUUGUCACUUAGGAAUGAUACAUUCAUAGCAUGAAAUUAAUUAUAUGAUCCUGAUUAAUCAAUUAAUUUUCAUGAGUUUUAACCUAGGUAAAACUAAGUACAAUCGUCGUUAACAACUACUGAAAUUGGGUAAGUAUGAUCUUGACAUUGAAGAAUUUGAAAACACAACCCACAGAGGAAAUUACCUAUUGCAUGGGGAUGGAGAUGUUUACCGCAGCGAUACAGAGCAGUGUUGUCCACUGCUCUUUGGGCUAUGGUGUCACUAAUUCUGAUUACGUAAUUGACUCUGGAUCGGGUGGAAAUAAUAACACUUUAUUAACAUUGCAUAGUCCGAGUACUUUUCCAGGAUCAGAUACGACGUGGUCUAAUGUUGAUAAUAAUAGUUUAUUAAAUGACAAAUCGUUGUUCAAGUAGAAGAUGAAGGUUGUGCAGGUGAUUUCAGAAAUAAAAUACAUUCUAAGAGAUGCUGGUCUACUAUUGCAUGCCCCCAGAUUUAAGAAUCUUUUGAUUGGGGCAUUUGGCAACGAUUCGACAAAUUCUAGAUUCAAGCUCCUCCACCAAGGGAUACCAACUGAGUUAUCAAUUAUCGUAGCAGUUUCUAUGAACUAAAAUUUGCAAAAUAAUUUCUAGCCCCGUUGACUCCACCAACUAAAGUUUACAACUCUACAAUAAUAAUUUCUAGCCCCGUUGACUCCACCAACUAAAGUUUUUUAAAAUUUAAAAAAGUACAUAGAAUUCCACAACAAGCAAAACGUGUGGAAUUUAAUUUUUUGCCGAAAAAGGACAAGAAAAAUGAUAAGAUUUUUAAAAUGAGUGGAAGGUGAUCCAUAUUUUACUAAAACGACUUACCUCGAACAUUAAGAUAAUUGAUUUUUAUUUUUUAUUUUUUAAUAAUAUCAACUUCCAUAUCUUUCUAGCGGGUCCAGCUAUGUUGCAACAGUGAUACUGUACCAUUGUUGCUUUCAGCCAUUGGAUCUUACUAAUGUAACAGUACAACUAUAGAUCCAAUGACUGGUUGCAACUGUAAUACCAUACCACUGUUGCAACAUAAUUUUGCCCCUUUCUAACCCCCAGAAUAUGCUCACGUUCAAGUCUAUCUUGCUAAUUUAAAAAAAGAAAAUCAAAUCAACACCAAAACAAUGAAAAGUAAAGCUUUUGAAUUUCAACUCGAGCUAGCAAACGUAUUCAGCUUUUUCAAAUUCUUCCCAUUGCAUAUCUUCUUCCUCCAUCAAUGCAAUAUUUGAACGAUUAUGAAAGAGUUUAAGAACAUAAAAAAUCUCCAAGGUUUAUACGGUAUAACAAAUUUAAAUUCUCAAUUACAAUAGAUAAUAAUUAAACUAAUAAUUUUUUAUGUACUUAUUUUAGUAAUUUCACCUAAGAAUAAUAUUGUAAUUAGAAAAAAAAUCUAAUAAGUAGGGUGGUCUUAUAAAAAAUCAACUGGUCUCCCCCCCAUAUAAUUAUAAUCCUUCUAGAAAGCUAAUUUUUAUUAAAUAUUUGCUUUUUAAGUUAAUUUCAAUUAAAAAAUGUUUUAAGUUAUAUAUACUCUAAUGAGAUUCUGAAUUCCUUUAUUCCAAUAAUAAUGAAAACGUAUUAAAUUAGAAAUGAAAAAAUUGGUGUUGACGAUUCAACCUAUUUGGAUAGAUUACGUGAAUAAAAUUGAAAUUUUGAUUUAAUUUUUGUUUAUUGUUAAUUCUCAGGCUAUCUUAAUUUCAAGAAUUUAGAAUGUUAAUUUGGUCAUGGAUUUCAGCCCGUGAGUGUCAUAUUCUAGACUUAAUGGUAUCAUUCUUUGAUUGAGGGCAAUGACUCUCACUCCUCUUGUAAAAAAAUAUUUUCAACUAUUUUGAUGACUUAAAAAUUGAUAGAUUUAUUGUUGUCAUGACCAAAUUAUUCAUUUUAAUGAAAUAUAAUUAAUGCAUCAAAGUUACCAGGUUUAUGUUCUAUCUUAAUGCGCUUUUUUUUUUUUUUCAGUUAUCAGCUAUGCCCCUGAGGCAUUUUGUAGAGUAUAGCUUCUGCUUACCUCUGUUUCAUUUUUUUUUAAUAAAAAAACAAGGGAAGGUUUUUCCGAGUCAUCCAUUAUUUGAUUACCGUCAAUCAAGAAAACGACCAAAUUAAUUUCUCUCCAAAAUUUCCAAAAGCUAGAAAAUUUUGUUAUUUGAAAAUAACAUCAUUAAUUAUAGAGUGGAUCAAACCGCGUUAUUGUCUUUUAUAAAAUUGAUGUCUUUUUAAGAGUCAAUACAUUUUAUUUACGCAAACCAGUCGACAUCAACUUGAACUUCCAUAUUUUUAUUAUUAUGUUAUUUAUUUUAAUCCCCGAUUAUUUGAUUAGCCACUAUAUAUAUCAAGAAAGCGACAAAAUUUAUUUCUCAUGACUUCCAAAAACUAGAAAACAACAUCAUUUAUUAUUUUUUUGCAACCCUAAUUGACAUCAACUUUAACUUUAUUAUGUUAUUAUUUCAAUCCCCCAUUAUGACCUUUCUAAUCCUCCAUUAUGCAUCUUUUAUAGUGCAAAUUUAAUUGCACAUCUAAAUAAAUUGAUUAUUGUCACUCCACCACCAAUAUUUCAAAUAGUCACUAGACCAUUUCUGCCUUUAAUUUUCCCUUAAUUUUAACUGUUGACUGUUUUUAGCAUCUUAAAAUAUACAUUUAUUCCUUGAUUAUGUGAUAAAAUUAUGAAAAUAUCCAUUUUAGCUUAAAUUAAUUGGAAUAACCAUAAGCGUAACAUAAAUUAAUAGAACAAAAUUAUCAAGUGUAUGUUCUAUCUUACUUUUUGAAGAAUUUAACAUAUAUAAUGCUAUACUAUUAAUAAAUUUAUCAUUUACUAUAUAUGUUCAAAUAUUUUAUAUAUUUAUUAAUUGUUAUAUAGUCAAAGGAUGAAUGAUUUUUCAGGUCUACAUGAGUUGGUGCAUCUGCAAGACUCAAUUUUGACAACAAUGAUCUAAGGGGUAAUUUACCUUGGCGUUUGACAAAUAUAACCUCUCUUCAAGAUUUACUUCCAAUCUACUUACUGUAAAUAUCUCCUCAUCUCCUCUCAUUUAUAUGAUAACCCUUGAAGAUCUCACAUUUUCAAACGAUCAUAUUAGGGUUUUUAUUAUUAGCAUCAUUGUGUCAAUAAUAUAUGUUGCAGUAAGAUUUUUUCAGACCAAUUCCCUUCUUCAAAUAAUAAUGGAAAAGUAUUAAUUUAAAAAUAAAAUGAAUAUGCAUUGAUUAUAUCCUGAUUUUCAUCGAUUAUAGAGAGAGUUUCUCCAAAUCAACUCCCUUAUUCAAAUAAUACAGAAAAAAUAGUAAUUUAAUAGUAAAAUUAACAAGUGUUGAUUAUAUAUCCUAAGUUUCAUCGAUUAUGUGAUCAAAGUGGCAUUGUUGAUUUAUUUCUUCUUCAAUGUAAAUUUUUAGGUUAUCUAAAUUUCAAGGAUUUAAAAUCUUUGUUCAUGGAUUACACGCUUAUUAAUUUUUCUGCCAUUGACUGUCAUAUUCUAGACUUAAUGGUACCUUCCUUGAUCAAGGAUAAUUACUCUCUGCUCUCCUCUUAUAAAUUCUUCUUCCAUUAACAUCACUAGGAGUAUGUUGAUCUCUCAGACGUUAACUUCAGUGGAGAGUUUCCAAAUUGAUUGUCACAAAACAACACAAAAACUAGACACACUUGAUCUGUCUAUUAAUUCUCUUUCGGUAAAAUUAAUUAAUUUUAGGGGAAUAUUCGACCAACCUAUAUAAUUUUAGAUUGAUCAUUAAUUAAUUGGACGAAAAAAGUGCUUGUGCUUUUGUGGCGACAAUUGAACCAGAGAAGUGAAGCUGUAAAGAUUUGGCAGUAGUAAAUUGUUAGAAAGACAUAAAGACGAGUUCCCAUUAUUAUAAUUUUUUCAAAAAACUUUUUUACAACACAUGCACCUGGCCAAAAAUUUUAUUUUGCUAACUAACAAUAAUUGAGUAGCUGACCGUAUUGACUCCACCUACUUGCUAAAGUAAAAAAAUAGAAAUAGAAUUUCCACAAAAUGGCAAACAUGUAAAAUCUAAUAUUUGGCCGUGUGGAACAAAAUACAAAUAAAAAAAAAAGAAAAGAAAAAAGGCCUAAAGACUUUUAAAAUGUGUGGAAGUCUUUCGGCCCUUUUAUAAUGGUGUGUUUUUCAAAGGAACAAAUAAUAAUAAUGACACUUCUACGGUUUGUUUUGAUAAUCACACAUAUACUCUUUAAUUUGAUAAAUGGUUACACAAAUUUUGUUUACAAAAAUAUAUUAUUCAUGUUCUGUGUUAUUUUUUAACAUCAUAUUUUUAUUUAUUAUAAUUGUUUAAAGUUAAUUGUUAGGUUGAUAUAUAAUAAAAACGUAUAAUCGUUCUCUUACUAAACACACAUACUCAUAGUUUCUGUUCAUUUGUCAUCUCAAUCUCUCUCAUUUAUCCUUUAUUGAUAGCUCAAAACGCGUCACUGUGGAAAAUUAUAGCAAAACGACAAAUAUGGAAAAAAAUGGGAAGAAAAUUAAUGCAUGAAAGAGUUGCAGAAGACAACCAAAUAAGUCAACUAUACGCUAGCUGGGUGUAUAAAUUGUUAGAUGUGUUAUAAACAAAUAGCAUAGAGCCCUUUGGUUGGUUACAAAGAUAGAAAGAGUGUGUGUGUUUUUUAGAACUUAAAGAUACAGUUAGAAUGGGUGGUUCAAAAUAAAAAAUGGUGAUAAUGUUUGUUCUGUUAUUAAUAAUAUUAGAAGGUGGGGGGAGUGAGGGAUGUUUGGAUCAUGAGAGAUUUGCUCUUUUGCGACUUAAACUUUUCUUUGAUGAUCCUUUUAAUUAUCUUCACGAUUGGAUAGAUGAUGAGGGAGCAACUGAUUGUUGUCAGUGGGAAAGGGUUGAGUGCAGCAACACCACAGGCCGAGUGAUAGCGCUAUACCUUUUUCACACGUAUGGGGGAGAGGACAGCUGGUAUCUGAAUACUUCUUUUUUUACUCCCUUCCAACAACUUGAGUCACUUGCUUUACAUGGCAACAACAUAGCCGGUUUUGUUGAGAAUGAAGGUGCUUCGUCUAAUUCAAUUAAAUUACAUUUCGCUCUCGUAAUUUAAGACGAAUAUCAAGACUGAGCAGCUAUAUGCAUAUUCAUUCAAUUGACAAUUUUUGAAAUUACACCAAACAUCAUAUGUGAUCUUUGUUUUGAUUUUACUUGCAGGUCUAGAAAGAUUGAGCAACUUGAAGGGGCUUGAUUUAAGAGGAAACUUGUUCAACAAUAGCAUCUUAUCAUCUGUGGCUCAUCUUUCAUCACUAACAUCAUUAUAUUUAUCUGAAAAUAGAUUGGAAGGAAGUAUUAAUGUUAAAGGUACGUAAUUAAAACGUCAUCGCUUCUACCAACUCUUUCAUUAACAUGCUAAAAUAAGAUUCAAGGCUUUGAAUUCAAUUUUUUUUAUGAGUAAUAUUAGAAAAAUAGUUUUAAGCAAUUCAUAAAUACAAUUUUCAAUGUUUCUCAUAAUUUCAUCUUGUACUUUUGUAUGUCUUGACUUUAAGAUUAAAAAAAAAAUUACUCUAACUGUGAAGCAAAUACCCCAUGACUAAUUUACAAUUUUGUCCAGUUAAAAAUGAUAAAAUUUAUCAUUUGUUUAUAUUGAUUUAUUAACUCUAUUUUAAGUCUUAAGUCUUGGCGUCUUGGCAUGUUUGCAGAAUUUGAUUCCUUGAGCAACUUAGAGGAGUUGGACAUGAGCGGCAAUGAAAUAGACAAUUUCGAGGUUCCUCAAGGUACACAAUUAAAAUAUUAUUUAAUUAUAUUAAUUUAAUUCGUUUGAUUAGGGAAGGCCCAAAAUGUACAAAAACAUAAUUAAAAAAAAAAUAAAGAAAUAGAGAAUUCAUAUUAUUUCAAAAAACAAAAGGUAAUACUAUUAUUUCAAAAAAAGAAUGUAAUAAAGAUUUGAUUCCGGUUCUUUAAUCUUUAUAGCAAUUGAAAAACAAUGUUGCUCUUUUCCUAAAGCAUAAAAUAUGAAAUGAGUCAUAAUUGAAUUAGUCAUUUAUUUUGUUUAGAUCUAAAUUUAGACAAUAAAUUUUGAUUUUUUUUUUCAAUCCUAUCCUUAUUAUUAUUGUUAAACAGGUUACAGAGGUUUGAGGAAGUUGAAAAGCCUCUAUCUAUCGGAAGUUAAAAUUAGAGAUGGAAGCAAGUUGUUACAGUCAAUUGGAUCAUUCCCAUCCCUCAACACUCUUUACCUUUCAUCUAAUAAUUUUACCGAUAUAGCGACAACUACUACUCAAGGUAAGUAAAAGGUACAGAUGUGGCCAAAUUUAUAAAUAAAUUGUUAAUUAAUUAAUUUUUCCGUAUUAUUAAUAAAGCUAAAUUCGUCGCUCCUUCCUUCUAAUUCUAAACAGAGUUGGCAAUUUCACCAACUUGGAGUAUUUGACAUUGGACUUGUCCUCACUCCAUUUAAGCCUUCUGCAAUUGCUUGAAGAAUGAAUUUAUAUAUUUAUUUAUUAUUAUUAUUAUUGUUAUUGUUGUUGUUGAAGUGAGGUGGGCAAGCGUUCACUCAAUUAAUAUGUGGGGAAUUAAUAAUUACAAUCCAAGGUAGAAUUGUGGAAAAUUAAAGCAAAAUGAGAAAUAUGGAAAGAAAGGAAGAAAGUUAAGGGCAUGAAAGACUGGGAGAAGACUAAAGACCACCAAAUAAGUCAACUGAAAACUAGCUGGGGCCUGGCUGUACAAAUUGUUAGAUGUGUUUGUUAUAAAUAACAUAGAGCCCUCUUGUUGGUUGCAGAGGCAGAGAGACAGAGAGUGUGCAUUUUGUUAAUUAAAAAUAUAUAUAAAAUGGGUGGUUCAAAAUCCAAAAUGGUGAUAAUGUUAGUUUUGUUAGUAUUAAUAAUAUUAUAAGGGAGGUGGCGUGAGGGAUGUUUGGUGCAUGAGAGAUUUGGUCUUUCGAGACUUAAAACAUUUCUUUAAUUCUCCUUAUAAUUUUUGUCACGACUGACCAUUGUCAAUGGGAUGGGGCUGGGUGCAGGGUUGAUUUACGUUAGAACAAUAUAGCCGGUAGUGUUGAGAAUGAAGGUGUUUCAUUUAAUUUAAUUAAUUUACUUUCUCCCUCCUAAUUUAAGUGGAAUAUCAAGACUGAAUAAUUAUAUGCAUCUUCGUUCAGUUGACAAUUUUGACAUAUUUUUUUAAGUGAUUAAUUUUGAAAUUACACCAAACAUUAUUUGUGAUCUCUGCUUUGACUUUACUUGCAGCGCUAGAGACGUUACCAAGAUUGAGCAACUUGACGAUACUUGAUUUAAGAGGAAACUUGUUCAAUAAUAGCAUCUUGUCAUUUGUUGCUCGUCUUUCAUCAUUAACAUCAUUAGAUUUAUCUUACAAUGGAUUGGAAGGAAGUAUUAAUAUUAAAGGUACGUAAUUAAAACGUCAUCGCUUCUCCCAACUCUUCCAUUAACAUGCUAAAAUAAGGUUCAAGGCUUUGAAUUCAAUUUUUUUUAUGAGUAAUAUUAGAAAAAUAGUUUUAAGCAAUUCAUAAAUACAAUUUUCAAUGUUUCUCAUAAUUUCAUCUUGUACUUUUGUAUGUCUUGACUUUAAGAUUAAAAAAAAAUUACUCUAACUGUGAAGCAAAUACCCCAUGACUAAUUUACAAUUUUGUCCAGUUAAAAAUGAUAAAAUUUAUCAUUUGUUUAUAUUGAUUUAUUAACUCUAUUUUAAGUCUUAAGUCUUGGCGUCUUGGCAUGUUUGCAGAAUUUGAUUCCUUGAGCAACUUAGAGGAGUUGGACAUGAGCGGCAAUGAAAUAGACAAUUUCGAGGUUCCUCAAGGUACACAAUUAAAAUAUUAUUUAAUUAUAUUAAUUUAAUUCGUUUGAUUAGGGAAGGCCCAAAAUGUACAAAAACAUAAUUAAAAAAAAUAAAGAAAUAGAGAAUUCAUAUUAUUUCAAAAAACAAAAGGUAAUACUAUUAUUUCAAAAAAAGAAUGUAAUAAAGAUUUGAUUCCGGUUCUUUAAUCUUUAUAGCAAUUGAAAAACAAUGUUGCUCUUUUCCUAAAGCAUAAAAUAUGAAAUGAGUCAUAAUUGAAUUAGUCAUUUAUUUUGUUUAGAUCUAAAUUUAGACAAUAAAUUUUGAUUUUUUUUUCAAUCCUAUCCUUAUUAUUAUUGUUAAACAGGUUAUAGAGGUUUGAGGAAGUUGAAAAGCUUUGAUCUAUCGGAAGUUAAAAUUAGAGAUGGAAGCAAGUUGUUACAGUCAAUGGGAUCAUUCCCAUCCCUCAACGCUCUUUACCUUUCGUCUAAUAAUUUUACCGAUACAGCGACAGCUACUCAAGGUAAGUAAAAGGUACAAAUGUGGCCAAAUUUAUAAACAAACUGUUAAUUAAUUAAUUUUUCCGUAUUAUUAAUUAAGCUAAAUUUGUUGCUCCUUCCUUCUAAAUCUACACAGAGUUGCACAAUUUCACCAACUUGGAAUAUUUGGCAUUGGACUAUUCCUCUCUCCAUAUAAGCCUUCUGCAAAGCAUUGCAUCAAUAUUCCCUUCGUUAAAAAAUUUGUCGAUGUAUCACUGUGUAGUCAAUGGCGUCCUACGUGGUCAAGGUAAAAGAAAAGUGUUGAUUGUGAACUCGCUCAAUGGUGUCCUACGUGUUCAACAUUUUUAUUUAUUUAUUUUAUUGUUUAAUGUUUCUGCUAGGUUUUCCUCAUUUCAAGAGUUUGGAACAUUUGGACAUGGAUUUCGCGAGCAUUGCACUCAACACCAACUUUCUUCAAAUCAUCGGAGAAUCAAUGCCUUCUCUUAAGUACUUAUCACUAUCAUAUUCUAAUCUUAGCACUGACAGCAAGACUCUUGAUCGAGGUUAAUGAGAUGCUUCAACCCUCCCCUUUAAAUCUAUAAUAUUAAUUUUCGAUUAAAUAUAUAAUUAUAGAAACCAAUCACUUAUAAAAGAAUGCUAUGCAUUUGCCAAUUUUUUUAUAUUUUACUGAUUGAUGAAUUAAUAAAUUUUCAGGCCUCUGUUCGUUGGUGCAUCUACAAGAGUUGUACAUUGCAACUCUUGUAGUAAUUAAUUAAUUAAUUAAUUAAGUAUUAGUUAAUUAAUUAAUUAAUUAAUUUUUUGUAUUAUUAAUAAAGCUAAAUUUGUUGCUCCUUCCUUCUAAUUCUGAACAGAGUUGCACAAUUUCACAAACUUGUAAUAUUUGGCAUUAGACUCUUUCUCUCUCCAUAUAAGCCUUCUGCAAAGCAUUGCAUCAAUAUUCCCUACGUGGUCAAGGUAAAAGAAAAGGGUUGAAUGUGAACUCACUCAAUGGUGUCGUACGUGUUCAACAUUUUUAUUUAUUUAUUUAUUUUAUUGUUUAAUGUUUCUGCUAGGUUUUCCUCAUUUCAAGAGUUUGGAACAUUUGGAUAUGGAUUACACUCGCAUUGUACUCAACACCAGCUUUCUUCAAAUCAUCGGUGUAUCGAUGCCUUCUCUUAAGUACUUAUCACUGUCAAAUUCUGAUCGUAGCACUAACAGCAGCAGGAUUCUUGAUCAAGGUUAAUCAGAUGCUCCCACCCUCCCUUCUUAAUCUAUAAUAUUAAUUUUCGAUUAAACAUUUAAUUACACAAACAAAUCACUUAUUAUAAAAGAACAAUACGCAUUCAUUAAUUUUUAUAUUGUAUUAAUUGAUGAAUUUAAUAAAUUUUCAGGCCUCUGUUCGUUGGUGUAUCUGCAAGAGUUGUACAUUGAUAAUAAUGAUUUAAGAGGUAGUUUGCCUUGGUGCUUGGCAAAUAUGACAUCCCUCCGAAUAUUAGAUGUUUCUUCCAAUCAACUUACUGGAAGCAUCUCCUCAUCUCCCCUCAUUCAUUUGACAUCCAUUGAAGAGCUGAUGCUUUCAAACAAUCACUUCCAGAUCCCAAUUUCACUUGAACCACUUUUCAAUCACUCAAGACUCAAGAUUUUCAAUGCUUACAACAAUGAAAUAAAAGCUGAAAUAACUGAGUCACAUUCUUUGAUCGCCCCAAAAUUCCAAUUAAAUACACUCUUGUUGUCUUCCAGUUACGGAGACAGUUUCAUAUUCCCUAAAUUCCUUUACCAUCAACAUGACCUGGCGUAUGUUGAUCUCUCACACAUAAAAAUGAAUGGAGAAUUUCCAACUUGGUUGUUGGAAAACAACACAAAAUUGAGCCACCUUUCUCUCAUCAAUGAUUCUCUUGCAGGACCUUUUUGGUUGCCAAUUCAUUCACACACGCAGUUAAUACUGUUGGAUAUAUCCAACAACAACAUCCGAGGCCACAUUCCACUAGAAAUUGGAGAUGUUUUACCACGUUUAUACGUUUUCAACAAUUCCAUGAAUGCUCUAGACGGUAGCAUUCCCUCUUCAUUUGGUAAUAUGAAAUUCCUCCAAAUUCUGGACUUAUCCAACAAUCACUUGACUGGUGAAAUCCCCGAGCACUUGGCCGUGGGUUGCGUCAACUUGCAGGCUCUUGCAUUAUCAAAUAACAACCUACAAGGUCAUUUGUUCUCUAGAAAUUUUAACUUGACAAACUUGAAAUGGUUACAAUUGGAGGGCAAUCGCUUCGUAGGUGAGAUCCCACAAAGUUUGUCUAAAUGCUCCUCACUAGAAGGAUUGUCUCUUAACAAUAAUAGUCUUUCGGGUAAGAUUCCACGAUGGUUGGGUAAUCUCACACGGUUAGAAUAUAUUAUAAUGCCCAAUAAUAAUCUUGAAGGCCCUAUUCCAGUGGAGUUUUGUCAGCUUGAUUCGCUUCAGAUUUUGGACAUUUCAGACAACAACAUAUCUGGAAGUUUACCAUCUUGUUUCCAUCCUCUCUCUAUCAAACAAGUUCAUCUUUCAAAAAAUAUGUUACAUGGACAGCUAAAAAGAGGUACAUUCUUUAAUUGCUCUUCCCUUGUGACAUUAGAUCUUAGCUAUAACCGCUUGAAUGGCAGCAUUCCGGAUUGGGUUGAUGGGCUUUCUCAGUUAAGCCACCUUAUCUUAGGUCACAAUAAUCUUGAAGGUGAAGUGCCAGUUCAAUUGUGCGAAUUGAACCAACUACAAUUGUUAGAUCUUUCUAAUAAUAAUCUUCACGGUCCUAUUCCUCCUUGCUUUGAUAACACCACACUUCAUGAAAGUUACAGCAAUAGUUCUAGUCCUGAUGAGCAAUUUGAAAUAUCUUUUUUCAUCCAAGAAACUCAGGGAUAUGUAAAAGAGCAAAUCCAUGAAAUUUUUGAGUUCACAACAAAGAACAUUGCGUACAUUUACCAAGGAAAAGUGCUUAGCCUCCUAUCAGGACUUGAUCUUUCUUGCAACAAGUUAAUCGGUCAUAUUCCUCCUCAAAUUGGAAAUUUGACAAGGAUUCAAACAUUGAAUCUAUCACACAACAACUUGACAGGAUUGAUCCCAUCAACAUUUUCAAACUUGAAGCAUAUCGAAAGUUUGGAUCUUUCCUACAACAAAUUGAAUAGAAAAAUCCCUCAUCAACUAGUGGAGUUAAAGACAUUGGAGGUUUUCAGUGUGGCAUACAAUAACUUAUCAGGCGAAAUUCCAGAAUGGAAAGCACAAUUUGCAACCUUCAACGAGAGUAGCUAUGAGGGAAAUACUUUUCUUUGUGGAUUGCCAUUGCCCAUUUGCAGAUCACCAGCAACUACGCCAAAGGCUUCAAUUGGCAAUGAAAGAGAUGAAAAUUUAAUUGACAUGGACAAUUUCUUUAUCACAUUUACAACAUCGUACGUAAUUGUAAUAUUCGGAAUUGUUAUUGUUUUAUAUGUAAAUCCUUAUUGGCGACGUAGAUGGUUUUACUUUGUUGAAAUGUGGAUAAUUUCAUGUUACUAUUUUGUUGUAAACAAUCUUAUUGCAACAAGAUAUUGUCAGUGAAAUUAAUUAGCAGUUUAAUUACGAUUCUUUAAGUUCUAAUCAAGUUUGCUUAGGAAAUAAAUUUAUUUUUAUUUUUUAUUAAAAUUGUAGUAGUAUUUAGCGCUAUAUAGCUUCCAACUUCCAAGCACUUCACAUUUGUCUCUACACUUCCAAACCCAUAUCUAUCCAACAUAACUUAUACUUCCCUAUACUGUGCAGCAUACUUAAAUAAGAGAAUCAUCUCCAAUGUUAAAACCAACCACUCUAUAACAUUCAUUUAGAAACUAUAUUUAGAAUAGUUUUAUAAUCAUACACAAGAAAUGAAACACCUAGAUGCACUUGAUCGCCUAUUUUACUUUAAAAAAUAAUGAUUAUGGUGCUAUCAUCAUCUUCUUCACUAGCAACAUUAACACCAAAUCCAGCGAUGGACCCAGACAUUUAAUCAAGAAAGGUAUAUAUAUAAUAAAGUUGAAGCUUGACAAAAAAUUCAGGAAGAUUAAUGCAUCGCCACAACAAGAGGCACAACAGCAUCAAAGUAGAGAUGAAGCAAUAUUCUCAAAGCUAAAACUCUCAAAUCCACCCACCAGAAUUUCAUAUCUCCUCAACAAUUUUAAGAACUAAAGAUAAUUAGGAUCUAACAUUAGUUUUUUAUAUAUUAGUUUCAUAAUUUACAAAUCAAUGAAGAUGAAGAUUAUGCUAAUGAAUUCAAAUUAUACCAUACAUUCUCGAGAUGUUACCAAAAAUUUCUAAGUCAAUCCCACAUAUUUCAUAAUUUUAAGACUAGAAAAUUUCAUUAGUUAGAAGUUUCAUUACCUUCAAGUGGAAGAUGAAGAACAUUAUACAAUUGAUUCAGAUUAUAUCAUACAUACUCCAAAUGCAACUAGAAAUUAACAAGUUCAUGCACACAGAUUUCAUAACAUUAUGAUUGGAAAGUUUCGCAAAGAGAAAUUCUAAAUUCAAUCUCUUGCAUCAAGGUAGUUUGAUUGAUUUGAGUUACUUUCAAGUCAGGGAGAAAGUAAAUUAAAACAGGGAAAAAAUAACAGUAAAAAUUUGUUGCUAAACAUGAUGUGUAUUUUUUUUUUAAGGCAAUUUGGAAACACAGUUGUUACUACAGAUAUUCUCAACUUAGAGAUAACUACAAAUAUUAAAAUGCAUAUGAUCGCACAUAUUACUUGGAGCUUAGUAGGAUUUCAUUAAGAGAAGCAAUCAAACCACUUAUCAAUUGUUGCAAUCGUUCUAUAAGCUAAAAUAGCAAUAUAAUACAAGAAAAAGAACAUAUAGAUACUUGGCAAGAGUUCAUUAAGAAGUCGCAUCACAUUCGGGUGAGUUUGCUUCUGAUAUCUUGCUAGCUGGGGCUUUUUCUUGUCUUUCUGCGUAUGCCGAAGGAAACCAACCAGCUUGGCCCUUGCAUUCACCUUCUGACCAUCCAGUAGGAGCCACCUUGAGAAGUUAUAACUAAAACAGUGAAUUAAACAAAAGUUGACCGUUCAAAGACCUAAGGGGAAAACUAAUUCUUUUACGUAGGAGUGAAUUAGUUGUGAUCACUGAAAUAACAGCAUAACUAUGGAAGCAUAACAAGAUAUAAAUUCACACGUCUAUAAGGGUAAACUGGGUGGUUUAGAACUGAGCUAGCAACCCUACUAUAUUCUGAUUUGCACUUCAAUGUAAAAGGGAAUAUAUGGUAGGAAUAAAGAAAACCAACUAUCAUUUGUUAACUCAUUGCUUUUCAAUCAAAAUUUUAAGAACAAAAUGCCAUGUGCUUUGAACAUCAAAUAAGUAUAAGCAUUAGUUCUAAAUUCCACAUAUCAUAAGUUAGAAGGAUAAGUUAAUAGCAUAUUAGAAAAAUCUAUGUGUUGUUAUUUAGAGGGGAAAGUACCUGGCGAACCACAACAUAAUCAGCUAUUGAAAGACUUAGCUCUCCAUUUGCUUGAGCAACAAAUGGAUGUAUAACCUGCAAGAUAAUGGGAUAAAUAGAACUUAAUCUUAAAAAAAGCAUAACAAAAGCAGCAACAGUAGCAGCAACGUUCAUUGUAACCACUAUGAUCAUGGCCAACAAAGAUAUAUUAGAAACAAAAUUCCAUUUAUACUACGACAUUAAUAUGUACUAUAUGAUAUCAUGACGAUUGGGUUACCAAGAGCUAUCAAAGUCCAAUAAAUUCUGUAUAACUUUAUGUAGUUAUUCAAAUUAUGGAUCAGAUUUUAAAUCUGAAAUUUUGACUGCUCUCCACAAAACAUGGCCUAUGCGCAAGAAAGUCAUAGAUAAUGAGGAUUACAAGUGUCUGACAUCUUUUGAGUGAUGGAUUUAACAUGAGAGCUUAUGGUCAGUCAAUUUCCUCUGCCUAGUAAUAUAAGCUUUCUCGGCCAGAUUUAUCAUCAAAUACAUAGAUUGCCCCCAAGUCACAUCCAUAUAAACAUAGUUUUUCUAGGUAAACCAAGUAAGGAGAAUCAUAAUUCAGACAUAAUCAUAAAAAGGAACAUCUAACUUAAGAGAAAAUCUCAAAAAGAGGGAUGCUGAGCUAUCAGUCUUGUAUCUAUAAGCAAUAUCAAGACUUUACAUCACCUGCUACAUCGUGAAUGGCUACACAACUUUCAGUGGUUUGUCUUUCUUUGGCAUGCCUAACUCAGCUUUGAUGUUGCUGAGAUAUUGAUAGUAGAGACACAUGAUACUUCUAGCUCAUGCAUUCUAUCUAGCUCAUCCGACAGCUAUGUCUUUUUUAAUUCAUUAGUGUUUGCUAAACCUCAUGCUUAAAAGUCCUGUUGUUCUAAACAAAGUUUCCUAAGAAUGACUUCCUCAGCACCACAUUUGGACACUUUUAGAGCAAUUUAUUUGGGGGAAAAGAAUUUUCAAGGUGUUAACUAAUAAAUUUUAAAAAAUAAUUACUAUUUGUCCUACGAUUAUAUGACAAUUUAUCUGGGAUGAAAGGAUACAGACAGACAUCUUCCACUUUCAAGACUAAUCACUACUUCCGUAGAUGUUUUGCAAUAAUACAAAUACUUGACCAGAUGGUAGUGAUGGUAGAAAAAAAUUUUAUUGCUCCAAAAUUAAAAUAAGAAUGCAAU
rnacentral:lncRNA from 1 species